rnacentral:lncRNA from 1 species
UGGUAAGAUCUGAAGCCUAGUCCACGACUGGCAUAUCUUGAGUUCAAUUUCAAUUGCUAUAAAUCAUGCCUCGAUAUUGUGUUUUCCCAAGUUGAUUUGGUUUGUAUCGGAAACUUAGAUGACAUAAUAUAUUUCUUAAAGUGUCCAUGGAGAAACCUAAUGAUGGAGUAACGUGGAACCAUAAAAAGAUGAAUAAGUAAAGACUGUAACUGGGUCGGGACUGUCCUUUACUGGGAUGCCCCACAAGCUGCUCUAUUCACUAUCCAAGUGAAAGGAUGGACCGUCACUUUAAUGGUAAACUAACUGAAAAUAGCUAUUAAUGGAUAGUCACUUCUUUAAUAAUGCUUUUGAUUGCAGGUUAAGAUGGAUAACUUUCAUAAGCCCCUUAAUGCUUGUUGAUUAAAACUCUUGAACUAGCAAUUAUCGGCAAGAAUAUGCCUCAUGUGCUUCUUCUUUUUCACGUGAGUGUAUUCUUAUGAGAUGUCCUUUUAACAUACAGUGGUUUGUUCAUGCAUGUAUGAAUGGGCAGUAUGUUCCAAAUCAAUUUUCCCAGCAACAUAUUCAAGAAAACAAGGAAAUGGCGACUCUCAGGUUUUCAGAUAGAUCGUGGCCGGUGAAGCUCUUAAGCUAUACGCAUAAUAAAUACCAGGGGGUGUAUUUCUCUGUUGGUUGGAAAGAAUUUGCAAGAGAAACUCAUCUGUGCGUGGGAAAUAUCUGUAUGUUUGAACUCAUUGAUAGUGAUGAUGUUGUCUUUCAAGUCUCCGUUUUUAGUAGUGCUGGUAAGAAUCUGAUUCACAUUGAUUGAGAUGAGCAUUUUCUAAUUUAUUCGGUAGUUGUGAAUCAUGAAAAGUAUACCUUUUAUGUUUCUGUUUUCUUCUUCUAAAGUUUAAAUCAUCACUCACAUAUCUCAUAUUCAUUUUUCACUGUUUCAUGUAUUGGCUAUUCAAAACAUGCACAUGUGCAGAGUGUUCCGGUUAAAUUUGUCAAGCAACAUCUUCACGAAAACAAACAAGUAGCAACUCUUCGGUAUUCGGACAGAUCGUGGCCAGUGAAGCUCAGUAGGAGCCUUGGACAGGCCAGAGGUGCUCCGGCUCUGGCCUUCUCCACCGGUUGGUGUGUAUUCGCAAGAGAAACUGAUCUGCAUGCGGGAAAUGUCUGCUUGUUUGAGCUCAUCGAUAGGGAUGAGACAGUGUUCAAAGUCUCCAUUCUGAGAGGUGCUGGUAAUGACCUGAUUCAUGUUAAUGGAGAUGAGCAUCGGAAGUAUUACCUGAGGCCAUUGCAGCAUCGAAAUGAAAUCAGGGGUUCCUAAUGAUGCCUCCUUAUAUUAAGCAGCGCAGCAGCGAAUCAAUCAAAAGCACUCUUUUCUGCUUUUUGUUCUCCUUUCUUCCUUUUUGUGCUAGUUUCAAUUCUAUGACCACCUUGCUUGGAAAGAACCUCCCAAAUCAGUGAUCUCUAUGGUUUUGCACAGCGGCUCAACCUGACCAGUGGAUCUACAGGACAGUGAAGACAUAAUGCUCUGAUGUAUGUUCAUGGAGUAUUUCUCCUUUUAUAUGUUUUGUCCUUCAAAUAUUAUGGCUUGUCCUCGUCCUCUUCGUUCCCGGAGAGAAUACGAAGUUGUUGCCGAGCAGGAGACUCCUCCUCCAAGUAGUAGCCCUCACUUCUUCAGGAUCAUAUUCUUUGGGAUUGUACUCUCUGACAAGCUAAUUUGCCAGGUUACGAGUUUUGAUCAACACCCUUGAGAGGUUCCUGAAAGUCAUUGAUCUCAAUUAAGCAGCAAUCCAAAGCAUUUUCUUUUAGAAGUGACGUGUCAUUUAGUUUUCCAUACUAUUCAAAAUCAACUUUGGGAAAAAGCACAACACCGAAGCUUCAAUCUGGUCAGCAUGUAAGUAUUUCUAAUGUUCAAAUUAGUGGCGGAAAAUAUCACUAAGAAUUUUGUUUUACACUGACGGUAAAUGGUCUAUUUUUUAUUAUUUUUUCUUUGAUAGUACAAGAGACAAAAGCCUGAAAAGUAGAGUGGUUGGCAAUGGCGAAAAUUUUGCAUACAUGAUCUAAUUCUACAUGCCAUGAUCUAUAUGCCAAAAUAAAGCCUAGCAAUGCAACUCCGGAUUUUAUAAGGAUUUGCACAAGCAAUCAACUUACGUUCUCUUGGACUUUCAACUUUGAACUUGCAACUUUAAACUCCUUGCGAGAAUGGUGUUUGGUGCACUCCCGCAAAAUAAAAUCGAAAUGACAUUAUGUUGGAAAUUUAAGUAAGACCAAUCUGAACACAAUGGGGAUCAUCAUGGAUGGGUCGUAACAUGUACAUAUAUGAAUGUAACCUGUAAACAAUGAGACGAAGGGCGAAUAAGAGACUAAAUAUAAAAAGAGUUGUGGAAAUAGCUUAUUAUCAUGAAAAUAGGUGAUAGUUGGAUAUGAAGAGAAAUGACGGUUGAUCAUGAAAAGUGAUAAUAAUGGGGAUAAGGUACAUAUUCUCAAGAGAUGUAAAUACAACCAAAUCAUACAUUAUUCAAUACUCCUGUUCAAGAAUAGUAGCCUUCUCUUCUUCAUAUUAUUCCCUACUAUUAUUUUCUUUUUUCACAUACAAGUUUGAUAAUAUAUUCAAGGUGAAAUUUCAAGAGAGAAAUUAAGUAAUUCUUGAACUCUUUUUUUUUUUUUUUGGUAGCUAUAGUGUAUAUAUUGGAGGUGUAUUUGUUUUAAAUCAGUAGCAACAAUUGGAGCAAAUAAUACUUUAAAGACAAUCAUCUUUAUCAUGCAUCAAAGGACUAUAUAAACUACUGAUCUAUCUUCAUCAGGGAAUGAAGUUCCCAACAAGAGCACGAUGGGUGAAUGAAUGAAACUGUGUAAUGGAAACUGAGUUAACACAAAAGACUGAGGUUGGUGGGAAUUAAUUUAUAACAAAAGAACCUGCCAACGAGCCUGAUUAUUCGGCCAACGAGCCUGAUUAUUCGGCCAACGAGUUAACAAAGGAUAAAUCGAAAACAAAAACCAAGGGCAGGCAUGCUGGCUUUGUUUUGUCGUUGACAUACUAGGAAGGCAUGACGUUAGAUCACAAUGAAAUUAUAAGACACGAUCGGGGUAUUGUGGAAAAUCAAUCAUCUCAUACCUGGGACGAGCAAAUGAUGGAAGGUUUUCGUUUAUAGCUUGCGGUUUCGCUCUUCUUGAAUCCACAAAAGAGAACAUGCUUCCGAUGCUCUCCUCAAAGCUCUCUCUCUCUCAGUACGAGCAUAAGCUCGGAUGAGUUCUCGGGUUAUGGUGACUGAGAGAGAUGAUACAUAUGAGAACGUAAGAGAACCCUUCUUCUAUGUCUAACGUAUUUUGCUGAAAUUCUUGUCGUGACUUUCCCAGAGGUGAACCAUUGAGGAAAAGUUAAAUAAUUACUAAGCAAACAAGGGUCUCCCAAACCCAUACUAGUUGCAACUUUGGGAUUUUAAUUUAAUCAAUUAAACGUGCAAAUCAAUUUAUUUUGGAGUUGCUACUAAUCUAUUAUGGGUAAAUUGGAAAUCUAAAUACAAUGUAGGGGAACAUUUCACUUAUGCAAGUAAGAGAUUUCAUGGAUAAGAGGGCCUAGUUGUGCUAGAUAAAUCUACCAUCAUCUUAGUACCUUUUCUCUUUAUUUCAAAAUGUUUGGUGAGUAGUCUUGAUCAAUUUAAUCCUAAAUCACUAAUCAUGAGGGUGUGCAUACACUAAUUUAGCACUCAAUAAAUUACAAUAAGAAAUAAAUCACUAGAAUAGGAUAAAAAAGACACCCGAACCCCUAGAGUGCCAAAAUUUGGUACAAAAGGAUACUUAGGUGCCAAAAGUUACAAAAGUGACACUUAAGUGUUAAAAUCGGAGCAAAAUGGAUCACUUAAGUGCCACCGGCGAAAAAAUCCGACCAAAACGCUAACGUGGCAAUUUUUCGGCGAGCUGCACGCAAAACAACGUCGUUUUGGUAUAAUUUGAAUUUUAAUAUAUUAAUUAAAUUAAAUUUAAUUUUUAAAAAUUAAUUAAUUAAUUAAAAAAAAAAAAAGGAGGGAGGCAGCCGGCGGUUGAGGGCUCAGCCCUUGCCGUCGUCACUACCGCCUCCCCUCCGUCGCCAGGGAGGUUGGGGAGUGUUGGUCGAGGCCACCAAGCCCGGGCCAAGGGUCGGCGGCCCCAGCCGACCGGCGACAAGGGCUUGCAUGCCCUCGCCCGGCCGACCCAAAGGUCGCUGCCUGCUGGGGGGUCGCCCCAACCUCCUCCGCCUUUGCCGGGUCGAACCCUACCUUUGGUGGUGACCACCGAUCGGAGAGAUUUACUUGCGAGGAGUGCAGGACGAGCGACACCGUGAACGAUUGAGUUGUCAAACAACCUUGACCACUAGAGAUGGGUGGCGGCAAAGGCAGUGGAGGUGGCGGUGAAUUGGAUUCGUGGAGCGAAGGGCAGAGUAAAUCGUGGCGUUUCGGAUUCGUGGAGAGAAGGGCAGAGUAAAUCGUGGCGUUUUGAGAGUGCGUUUGUGUCUCUAUGAUAGCUACUGAGCUAGAUUCAUUUUUAAGGGAUUGAUAAAUGGGUUUUAAAUGGGUACAGAUUAGAUUCAUUUAACACUUAUAUAUUUUAAUCUCUUUAUUUUAAAAAUCCAUUACGGGAUGCUUUGAGAAAUAAAACUUUACUCAUUAAUGACCUUUUAAACAAGUAUGGGUCGAUAAAUGAGUCGUGUACUUAUUUUGACACCUCUGCAUCCACGUUACGAGAGGCUCGUGUCUGAUUAACACGUCCCAUGAAUCUUUGCCUUGAUCACCGAGCCAUCUGAUUUUGCCAGGACGAUGGCCUCAAGAACGAAGGCUCCGCGCUCCUGUAGUUGAACUUGAAACCCCCCAAACCAUCUUCUUCUCCUCCUCCUUCUUCUUCUGUGAGGAGCCAGGGGACACUGCUGUCUAUGGCUUCUCGCAACAGUCGUCGUCGUCGCCGGAGAGAAGAUGGAGCUGUCGAGCGGGAGGUCGCGACCGGCCCUCGUCUUGGGAGCCGUUGCUUCUUCAAGAUCAUACUCUCCAACGCGCUGGAAUCUGGAAAGCUUGUGAGUUGAUCACAUCUUCAUCAGUGUUUUAAGAGUUUCUCGUGCUCUGUGCUGUGUACCCGUCAGCCCGGAAAAACUGGUUUGUGGGUUCGGUUUGGAAUGAACUUUUCGCUUCCAGCUUAAAAAAGAACAAGAGGGUAUUGUCUAACAUGGCCUGUUUAUCAAACAAAAUUUAUCCUUUUUGCAUGCUUCGAUGAUAUGAAUGUCUUCAUCGGAUGUGCGACCGGUUGUCCUGAACCGUGGUGAUGGUCGGCCUCAUGUCCUCUUGGCUGCUGCCAUUUCUUCUGCUAAAGUUUGCUUUUUUGUAUAUUCGUUUUACGAUUUGGGUCGAAAUGGGUUUUCGGAAUAUAGUGUGAUGUGCAUGGUUCAGGUUUCCACAACAUCCGUUGGACAUUGCUAUUGGGAGAGUAAUUUCUUGGGUACACAGAUUUAACUGACCAAAAAUGAUAUGACAAAGUAAUGGGCUUUUUCUAAUGUGCCUUGCUUCCUUGGGCAGCCGAUCUCAGUCGUGGGAGAAAAGAAAAAUCGAUGUCAGCUGUUGUAUGACAAAACGUCUUGGCCAUGGGAUCAAGAUAAUUUUAUGUGAACUGUUGGAUUUGGCACGGCAAUUUCACUAAUCUUAGUAUAAACGAAUUUUGGAUUCUUGAGCUUUAUGCUUGUCCAAUGAAGCAACUAGAACUACAAAUCAAUCCACGACCAUUCUGAAGUACAAUUGUGGAAACUGAUCAUUCAUCCAUGUUGCAGAAUUUAAAGUUUCUUAGUUUUCUUCCUAUUCUCUGCACUUCAAUUUAACUAUGUUGAGUUAUUAUCAUGGACCUUUAACUUUAAUUUUUUACAUAAUAGGGAAUUCCAAAGAAUUUCUUGAGAAGAUGUGGAAAGGAUCUCUCAAACUCGGUGCUUCUUAAGGUUCCAGGCGGUUCAGCCUGGACUAUUGAACUAGAAAAGUGUAACAAUGACUUGGUUUCGUUGUGGAAAGGUUGGCGGGAAUUCAUGGAGCAUUACUCUAUUGGUCAUGGUCACCUCAUCGUUUUCAAAUAUAAAGGGAACUCUACUUUUCAUGUAAUAAUAUUCGAUAAGAGUGCUUCAGAGAUAGAUUAUUCGUCGAGCAGCAGCAAAAUAUCGUACCUUGGGAGCAAAUUUCCCUCGCCAAAAUCAGAAGACGUCCUAGGGGCAGAAGAUCUGCAGGAUUCCACACCCCGUCAAAGAAUGAGGGUUGAACCACAUUUGCCUUAUUCUCAGCUAAGUAUGAGCUACCCACCACAAGGUUUGGAAGGUGUGACUCUUCAUUGUUUAAGUCACGUUUCUUCUUACAUCACUCUCUUUUGUUAGUUGUUUUCCAAAAAUACUAGAAAACCUUUUUAUAAAAGUUUUUUCCUGAGCCAGUUUUUCUUGGUCCUACACCUCUGAGUUCUCUCACCGCUCCUGAAUUAUCCAAUGAGUUUUAUUCAGAGAAUCCCUUCUUCAAACUGGUGAUAAAUCAGGGUGGAAAAAUGGUAAGAUCUCGAGUUUCAUCCACUGCUGGCAUAUCUCAAUUUCAAUUAGGAUUGCUUGCUAAAUCUUGCCUCAGUAUUGUGUUUUCCCAAGUUGAUUUGGUCUGUAACUGAUACAANNNNNNNNNNNNNNNNNNNNNNNNNNNNNNNNNNNNNNNNNNNNNNNNNNNNNNNNNNNNNNNNNNNNNNNNNNNNNNNNNNNNNNNNNNNNNNNNNNNNUGCAUAAGCUGCUCUAAUCACUAUCCAAGUGAAAGGAUGGACAGCACUUGAACGGAAAACUGUCUGUUAAUGGACGUUCACUUUUGGAGAAUUCUUUAGAUUGCAGGUUAAGAUUGAUGAUGCUUUAGAUUGCAGGUUAAGAUCAUUAAAUUUUGUGAGCCUCUUAAAGUUGUUGACUGAAACUCCUGAAACUAGCAAAUAUCACCAUGAUUAUUCUUUUUUUUUUUUGGUAAUUGUCACCAUGAUUAUUCUUCUUGUGUGCUUUUUCCUUAAAAUUGUGUGCUGACUCGUUUGUACAAACAUGUACAUAUGUGCAGAAUAUUCCUGUUGGUUUUGCCAGGCAAUAUAUUCAAGCAGACAGGGAAAUGGCGACGCUUAGGUUUUCAGACGGAUCGUGGCUGGUGAAGCUUUUAAGAAAUUUGCAGGAUCACCAGGCAUGCUUCUCAUUCCACUUGAACAAUUUCAUAUCUUGGUUGUUUAAACAUGUACAUGGCCAGAGUAUUCCGCGUGGAUUCAUCAAGCAACAUAUCCAGGAAAAGCCAAGAGCAACUCUUAGGUACUCAGACAGAUCAUGGUCAGUGAAGCUCAUCAGGAACAACAGACACCUCAAAGGGGUUCUGCUCUGUCCUUCUCUGCUGGUUGGCGUGCAUUUGCAAGAGAAACUCAUCUGCGUGCAGGAAAUGUCUGCUUGUUUGAGCUAAUUGAUCGGGUUGAUAUUGUCUUCAAAGUCUCCAUUUUGAGUGGUGCCAGUAAGGACUUGAUAUACGUUGUUGAAAAUGAGUACUUGAAGUGUAUGCCUCCCUUAUUUGGUUGUGCUGCAUAACUGACGAGUACACUUUCUUUUCUAUGUUAAUUUAAAAUAUAGUGAUUUGUCUCCCUUAUUUGGUUGUGCUGCAUAACUGAUGAGUACACUUUAUUUUCUAUGUUAAUUUAAAAUAUAGUAAUUUGUCUCUUUCGAUGUGAAGAGCACGAAUAAUAUUUUCAUUCAAAUUGUCUGACUUUUUGAUUUCAUGGUAAUCAUUAUUUCCAAUUGAUUUAUAUAUCUUAUUAUCGUAGGUCAAUUGAAGAAACGCUUGCGCUAAAGUCCAUUAAAGUUUCCAUUUUUAGUUCAGCGCAGGAACAAACUGUCUAAAUGCAGAGUGAAUCAUAAUGCGCCCGUUUUUCGUGGUCCUACACCUCCAAAGCCCUUCACUUCUCCUGAAUGAGCCAGUGUGUUUGAGUCAGAGCAUCCCUUCUUCGAAGUGGUAAUACAGCAAUGGCAUCAGAAUCAAUUGGUAAGAUCUGAAGCCUAAUCGAUCGGUGGCAUAAUUCAAGUUCAAUUACGAUUGCUGUAAAUCAUGCCUUGAUAUUGUGUUUUCCCAAGUUGAUUUGGUUUGUAUUGGAAACUUAACGACGGAUUAUAUUUCUCAAGUGUCCAUGGGGAAUCCUAAUGAUGGAGUAACAUGGAACUAGGAAAAGAUGAAUAAGUAAAGACAGUAUUUGGGUUGGGAGUGUAAUUGAAUAUUCCUCACAAGCCACUCUAUUCACUAUCCAAGUGAAAGGAUGGACAGGCACUUGAAUGGUAAACUAACUGAAAAUAGCUUUUAAUGGACAGUCCUUUCUUAAAUAAUGCUUUGGAUUGCAGGUUAAGAUCGGUGACUUUCAUAAGCCCCUUAAGGCUGGUGAUUAAAACUCUUGAACUACAUCAUGUGCUUUUUUCCUUGUCUUUCACGUGAGUGUAUGUUUAUGUGAUGUCCUUUUAACAUACAGUGGUUUGUUCCCACAUGUAUGAAUGUGCAGUACGUUCCCCGUCAAUUUGCCAAGCAACACAUUCAAGAAAACAGGGAAAUGGCGACUCUUAGGUUUUCAGACAGAUUGUGGCUGGUGAAGCUCAAAAGCUAUUCGCAUGGAAACCUGAUGUUCUUCUCUGCUGGUUGGCCUGCAUUUGCAAGAGAAACUCAUCUGUGUGUGGGAAAUAUCUGUGUGUUUGAGCUCAUUGAUAGGGAUGAUGGUGUAUUCCAAGUCUCUAUUUUCAGUAGUGCCGGUAAGGAUCCAAUUCACAUUGAUUGAGAUGAACAUAGGAAGGGUUACUUUAAGUCAUUUGCUGCAUUAAUAUGAAUUCAGCAUUCCCAAUUAGCCUCUUUUAUUCGGUAGUUGCAAAUCAAUGAAAAGUAGACUUUUUCAUGUUUCUGUUUUCUUCUUUUCUGCACUAGUCUCAAUUCGAUUUUCAUGAUGACAGUGAUUUUCAAUCUAUGCUGGAUCUUUUCAUAGCAAGUCAAUUAAAGAGACAUUACACCAAUUCUAUUAAAUUUCUCAUUGUUUUACUGCAGGUGGGAUAGAGAAAUCGACAUGCCGACUGGGCUGUUCUGAGCUGGAUUUUCAUGGUCCUACACUAUCAAGGCCUCUCACGUCUCACGAAUUUGCUAGCAAUAUUGAUUUGGAGCAUCCCUUUUUCAAAAAGGUGACCCCGCAAAGUUAUUUCAAUCGCCUGGUAAGAUCUAAAGCUUAAAUCAUCACUCACAUAUCUCAUAUUCGUUUUUCACCGUUUUCAUGUAUUGGCUAUUAAAAACAUGCACAUGUGCAGAGUGUUCCGGUUGGAUUUUUCAAGCAACAUCUUCAGGAAAACAAACAAAUAGCGACUCUUCGGUAUUUGGACAGAUCGUGGCCAGUGAAGCUCAUUAGGAGCCUUGGACAGGCCAGAGGUGCUCUGGCUCUGGCCUUCUCCACCGGUUGGUGUGCAUUCGCAAGAGAAACUGAUCUGCGUGCAGGAAAUGUCUGCUUGUUUGAGCUCAUCGAUUUGGAUAAGACAGUGUUCAAAGUCUCCAUUUCGAGUGGCGCUGGUAAUGACCUGAUUCACGUUGACCGAGAUGAGCAUCAGAAGUAUUACCUGAGGCCAUUGCAGCAUCGAAAUGAAAUCAGGGGUUCCUAGUAAUGCCUCCUUUUAUUAAGCAGCGCAGCAGCGAAUCAAUUAAAAUCACUCUUUUCUGCUCUUUGUUCUCUUCUUUCUUCCCUUUUGUGCUAGUUUCAAUUCUAUGACUACCUUGCUCGGAAAGAACCUCUCAAAUCGGUGAAUCUUUAUGGUUUUGCACAGCGGCUCAACGUGACCAGUAGAUCUACAAGACGGUGAAAGACGUAAUGCUCUGAUGUAUGUUCAUGGAGUACUUCUGCUUUUAUAUGUUUUGUCUUUGAAAUAUUAUGGCUUGUCCUCGUCCUCUUCGUUCCGGAGAGAAGACGAAGUUGUUGCCGAGCAGGAGACUCGUCCAAGUAGUAGUCCUCACUUCUUGAGGAUCAUAUUCUUGGGGAUCAUACUCUCUGACAUGCUAAUUUGCUAGGUCAGGAGUUUUGAUCAAUACCCUUGAGAGGCUCCUGAAAGUCAUUGAUCUCAAUUAAGCAGCAAUCCAAAGCAUUUUCUUUUAGAAGUGACAUGUCAUUUAGUUUUCUAUACAAACCAAAAUCAACUUUGGGAAAAACAAAAUACCGGAGAUUCAAUCUGGUCAGCUUGUAAGUAAUUCUAAUGUUCAAAUUAGUGGCGGAAAAUAUCACUAUAAAUUUUGUUUUACACCGACGGUAAAUGGUUUAUUGUUCUUUUUCUUUUUCUUUGGUGGUACAAGAGACAAAAGCCUGAUAAGUGGAGCGGUUGGCAAUGGCGAAAAUUUUGUAUACAUGAUCUAAUUCUACAUGCCAUGAUCUAUAUGCCAAAAUAAGCCUAGCAACGCAACUACGGAUUUUAUAAGGAUUCGCACAAGCAAUCAACCUACGUUCUCUUGGACUUUCAACCUUAAAUUCCUUGCAAGAAUGGUGUUUGGUGCAUUUUGGGAAAAUAAAAUCGAAAUAACAUUUCGUUGGAAAUUUAAGUAGAACCAAUCUGAACACAACGAGGAUCAUCAUGGAUGGGUCGUGGCAUGUACAUAUAUGAGUAACCUAUAAACAAUGAGAGGAAAGGCGAAUAAGGGGUUAAAUAUAUAUAAAAAAAAAAAGUUGUUGAAAUGGUUUAUUAUCAUGAAAAUAGGUGAUAGCUGGAUAUGAAGAGGAAUGAUGGUUAAUCAUGAAAAGUGAUAAUAAUAGGGAUAAGGAACAUAUUUCCAAAGAGAUGUGGUGAUUGGCCAUAUAUAAAUACGACCAAAUCAUACAUUGUUCAACACUCCUGUUAAAAUAUUAUUAGCCUUCUCUUCUUCAUAACUCUCUCUUCUUCAUAUUAUUGUCUAAUAUUAUUUUCUUUUUUCACACACAAGUUUGACAAUACAUUCAAGAUGAAAUUCCAACAGAGAAAUUGAAUAUUGCUGAACUUGUUUUUUUGUGGCUUUAGUAUAUAUCUUGGAGGUAUAUUUGUUUUAAAUCAACAACAACAAUAGUAGGAGCAAAUAAUACUUUAAGGACGGUCAUCUUCAUCACGCAUCAAAGAACUAUAUAAAAUACUGAUCUAUCUUCAUCGGGGAACGAAUUUCCCAACAAGAGCAUGACGGAUAAAUGAAUCAAACUGUCUAAUGGAAACUGAGUCAACACAAAAGACUGAGAUUCAUGGGAAUUAAUUUCGAACAAAAGAACCUGAUAAUUUGGCCAGUGACUUAUAAAUCGAAAACAAAAACCAAGGAUAGGCAUGCUGGCUUUGUUUUGCCGUUGACAUACUAGGAAGGCAUUGUGACAUCCUCAAUUUUCAAUCUUGUUCAAUUGGAUAAAUCGGGCAUUUUAUCAACGCGCCGAUAGUGCUAUUCUCUGAGUCGAUCACUCAUGAAAUAACUAGACUAUCUGGGGAAGUCAUUAUGGGAUUUUAACGCAAUAAACUUGAGAAUUCGAUCAGGAAUCGACUGCUCGAUCGUACUAAUUUGCAAAGGUCAUUACGGUACAAUUAAAAAUCAUUUAGAGACCGAAGAUAGGUCGACUCGACUGAGGUGUGUGAUUGAGUGUGGGUGAUUCCACCUGAUUGUAAAAUUAUCGUCGAUUGGCACUAGACCAAUUUUAUGUCGUUUUAGGUUACCUGUGUCUAUAAUUGAAAUAUCGAGAUUUUCACGGCAACCGAGAAUCGCCAAUGAGUCAAAGAUAUACGUUGUGGCUCGAAAAUAAUUGACCACGAAUCAAUUGCACUAAAAAUUCCUAAAAACUACCCGAUAGGUUAGGUCACGCUAAAAUCGCGUCAGAUUGAAAUUAACCGCGAAUUUGAACCCGAUUUUAGAAAUUGAAAGUUUUGUUAUGUCACGAUUUAUUUUAGGAACGCCUACUCAUCAUUCAAAGAAUUUUUGGAGAUUCUGGGAUUUUUACGAAAAAUCAAUUAGGACGAUUCGGAAAACGAAUGGAAAUUUGGAUUGGCCGAAUUGAAGGGAUUUUUGACUUGCAAACCGAACCUUUGGGUGUUGGGGACUUGUGAAAUUUUUGUGGGUAUUUUCUUCAUCAAAAUUUGGAGAUUAGGUGAAGAAAUUGAAGUUUGUUUUGUGAAAUUCGUAUGCUAAUAUAAGGGCUGCUUUUUUGGCUUCAAAAUGGAUUAUUUUUAGGAAUUUAUCUUCAAGAAAGUACUAGGAGACCAUAGGGUAUGUUUGAGGGCUUUAAGGGGACCAAGCAUUCAAUUAUUUGGAUAGUCUUUGUUGACUAUUCUUCCUCUCCCUCAAGCUUCCGUCGCACGCCCAUCCGCCGCCCAUCUCCUUCGCGUGAACUUCUGGCUUCACUUUCAUUUCCUCUGCUAUUCUUCUUUUUAUUUCACCGAAGCCAGCACCUAUUCACUUCACCCCUCACUUCCACGUGCUGCUCCUCCAUCGUCACCCCACGCUCGAUUCUCCACCAACCGUUGCCCCCCAUCAUUUCCUUUCAUUUAUGCUGCAUCAUCAUCCGUAGCCCCAUCAUCCCCAUCCCACCGAAGCUGCUUCUUGCAGCUACCGUCCAAGCCACUUCGCCAAGUCAACCACGAAGCCUCCACCGCCCAGCAGCGUCCACCGAGUGAAGUGUCUUCAGCCGGCUCACGCCCGGUCAACAACAACACCCACAGAAGCUCCAUCGUUUACUCCAUCUCCACCAAUAUUCGUCUGCCACCGAACCAAGUCAUCCAUCAUCCGUGAGUAGCCCAUCAGCCGAGGGAAAACCGAGCAGCAAUUCUUCAGCUCAAACAGCGAGCUUGCGGGCCAUUUUUCGAGCCCGGUCAGUGCCCCGUUGACGUCGUCACUUUGGAGAGUAUCGAUCGUCAUUGCGACCCUGUCGUUUUGAUCUGAGUGGAUCUCGAAUCAAGUGAGUUAUCUCACUAAACCUUGAUUAGUAGGUUAAUUAUGCUUAGAGAGUAAUUAGAUUAGGUUAAUUAAGGUUUAGGUGGUUAGUUAGAUUAGAUUAGUUAUUUAAAUAUCCUAUUUUGCAUGUUAGGUUGUUAAUUUAGGUUAAUUAGGGCCUAGGUAGAUUGUAUUAAUUAUCUAGAUUGGUUCGGGAAUUUUCCGGGACCGACUCGGUAUUUAAUUUUGUAAUUUCGGCCUAGGUUAGCUAUUUUUGGUAUUUAAUUGAUUUAUUUAAUUAAUUUGUAAUUAUUUAAUUAUUAAAUAUUUUCCGGAAAUUAGACCGGAAUAGCCGAUGACUGGAAUUUCGUGCUGAUUGCAUGAUGUGUUUAGAUUUCGCAAUUGGAUGUUAAUUUGUGCAAACUGAGUGCUGAUUGAAUUUUUGGUAAUUUAUUCCAAAAAUUGUGAAUUUCAAUAUUUAUUCAGAAAUUACCAGGUGUUUUUAAUAUGAAGAAAAUAGGCUUGGAUUACUAUUUUAUGGGAGACAUUUGAGUGAAAGGUAUGGUGUCCUGGGUCGAGAUUAUUUGAUCGUGUGUUGAUUAAUGAAAACUAGUCUCGAGCUUUUAAGCCGGACAUUACCCUAUAUGGGAUAUUUAUUUUUUGGAUCGCGGGUCGCAGUAGAUUUUGGACCUACGCCCCUUCGGGGAAGCCGUCUAUUAAGAUAUGGACGUCGUCAUGCUCAAUGGAGGUGAGACGAUGCCUGGCUAUGCCAGAAGGACAUUGAACUUAUGAGUAGGUGACUCGGGUCGCGGUAGAUUCUGGACCUAGGCCCCUUCGGGAAAGCCGUCUAUUAAGAUAUAGAUGUGGUCGUGCUCAAUGGUGGUGAUGCGAUACCCGGCUGUGCCAGUAGACACUGAACCUAUGAGUAGGUGGGGCUUAUUAUUUCGCUUCCGCAUGUGCAAUUAAAAAUGAAAGUGUAACAUCCCGGGUCUCCACUGUACACAUAUUAUCCGCUUUGGACACUAAGUCCUCACGGUUUUGUUUCUCUCGGGAUAGCCUAUACUACCCCAAGAAAACGUGUAUGUACAAUUAGAGGGACCCAAGCCUUAUAAGCUAGCCCAGGACUCUCUCCUUAGGCGAUGUGGGACAAGAGAGGGACCCCUUCCUUGCGCACGUCCGAGACCACCGCUCGGGCCGUUACACUCUCCACCUCUUGGCAGAAGAGCGUUCUCGCUGUGGCCCCACACGCGGUCGGGAGUCAGAACAACAUUCUUGCUGUGGCCCCACACGCAGUCGGGAGUCGGCUCUGAUGUGCAGUCGGGAGUCGGCUCUGAUACCACUUGUAACAUCCCGGGUCUCCAUUGUACACAUAUUGUCCACUUUGGACACUAAGUCCUCACGGUUUUGUUUCUCUCGGGGCAACGGUUUUGUUUCUCUCGGGGCAGCCCAUACUACUCCAAGAAAAUGCGUAUGUACAGUUAGAGGGACUCAAGCCUUAUAAGCUAGCCUAGAACUCUCUCCCUAGGCGAUGUGGGACAAGAGAGGGACCCCUUCCUUGCCCAUGUCCGAGAACUGCCGCUCGGGCCGUCACAGAAAGGGUCAGCGACUAGUCCUGGGAAGUUGCAAUUAUAUCGACUAGAGCGGGAUGGGCAUGCACUCGAGGAUCGGGACGUGACAGGCAUGACGUUAGAUCACAAUGAAAUUAUAACACACGAUCGGGGUAUUGUGGAAAAUCAAUCAUCUCAGACCUAGGACGAGCAAAUGAUGGAAGGUUUUCCUUGAUAGCUAGCGGUUUUGCUCUUCUUGAAUCCACCAAAGAGAACANNNNNNNNNNNNNNNNNNNNNNNNNNNNNNNNNNNNNNNNNNNNNNNNNNNNNNNNNNNNNNNNNNNNNNNNNNNNNNNNNNNNNNNNNNNNNNNNNNNNAUUUUUAGCUUUAUAAGGUUUCGAUUUGUUUGCCGCAACAAAUGCUGGCUUAACUUGAGUAAUAUGAAUUUGAUUGACUUGUUAUUGCAAUCGACGCAUUCUUUUUUUUCUUUUGAACCCUUCCUUUCUAGGUACGCGUCAUAUUACCCCCUUGGAUUUCCUCUGCUUCAUACCAUUGACCCUCUGACGGGUUAUAAGGUACUUUCAGAGUUCGUCGGUGAUGUGAUUGUACCAUAUGACCAUACUCCCUAGUGUCAUCGCGAAAUUCCUCCCCCCAUCUGGAAGGAACGAUUUUAUAGGCAUAGGAAGAGUAAGAUGGAGGAGGCGCAUGACUCACAUAAUAAUCAAACUUUCCAUUGGGCUCCCCCAAUGUGCCUAUGGUAGAUCCUUUUCAUCAUAUCUCUAUUGAAUGACUUAUAGGGCUUUCGAUGAGGAGGAACAUUUUCUGCAUGAAAAAUUUCAUCCUCGUCACGAGUCCCAUGAUAUGGUCUGGAGGUUCUUGCACUUUGGUACUUGCUAAAGGUACGAUCUUCUAACGGGUACUCCUGUUCUCUUAGAUAUCAAUGAUCUUUGUUUUUAAUUAUGUGCCUAGAAUGAGUGCAAAUAUGUGGCCAUCUACAUCUUUUACCUCGAGGCCUUAUUGAAACCAUACCAGUCAUUACAGGGAAUGGGUCUAUGUCCACCUCCAUCGAGGAUUUCCUUUUGUCGUCGGCAGACUUUAUUUUCCCCUGUCAAAUUACCUCUUGGAUAUUCUUCUUUAGGACCACGCAAUCAAAGGAGCUGUGGCUCCACAAGUGAUGCCAUUUGCAAUACUUCUUUCCCACUAAUUCAUCUUUAGCGGGUAAAUUCUAUACUACUGUUAACUUUAUUUGACCAUCUGCCAAUAACAUGUCAAAGAUUUCUUCGGUCCCAGUAACAUCGAAGGAAUAGUAAAUUGAUUUUUUGGCUUAGCCAUGAUAUUCGACUUUUCCUUUGUCUUAGUCGGCUUUAAUGGUUGGCAUGUAUAUGGUUUUUCAAUGACCAUUUUGGUAACAACCAUUUCUACUAUCUCCAUUUGUUCCUCAUCGAAGUCAUUUGUCUCGACAAAGCUUACGUCUCCCCUUCAACCAUGUCUUUUAUCCUUUUUUUCAAGCAAGUUUUCAUGUUUGACUUACCAUUCUUUCCCAAAUUUCAAACUUCAGGCCAUUGAAGGCUAACUCUACAAAUGUUUUCUUAGGCACGAGGACUAAGCAUUUGAUUUUCGCCCUUUUGUACCUUGCUCUAAACUACUCAAUCGUUUCAUUUCCCAUUUGUCUCAUAGUUGACAAGUCAACGACUGAUAAGUCUAGGAUAGCUCGCUGGAAUUGGGUGUGGAAAAGUCGUUCCAUUUGCUCCCGUGAGAAAAUUGAAUUGGUUGGUAGUGUGGUGCACCAUGUGAAAACUGUCUUUGACAGUGGGAGUGGAACAAACACAACUUCCAAUGAUCACCAUGUGUAGCAUCACCACAGAGGGCUAAGAAGCAAGUAAUGUGUUCGAAAGUUGAUUGAUAAUCUUUUCCGGUGAAUAGCGUAAAUUCUAGCAUUUUAAAGCCUCUUCGAUAUGGGACUGUGUCCAUCCAAUAUGGGUAAAGUUUUCUAUAGGCAUUGCCCAUGUAUCCAGGAUCACCAACAUAAUUCCUUCCAGCAGGUUUGAUAGGCAUCUAAUUCUGCCAUAGGAUGGCUAUGGGUAACCUUACCAUCUGUUGGGUGCUAUACUCGGUAUGCAACAUCGGGUUCGCAUUCUACUGCGGGAACUGAUAUGCUAGCUGUUGUGGAGCUUGAUACAUUGGCUGCUGCGGAGCCUGGUAUAUUGGUUGUGGCAGAGGUUGAUACACUGAUUGCUAUAGAAUUUGAUAAAAUCGAGGAACGUUUUGGUUGGCUGGUGGAUUGUUUAGUUUUAGGUUAUGAUGUAUGGAUUGAAACUCUUGAUGAGGAAUGUGUGAUUAGUGUUUGGGAAAAUUGUUCCUGCCCCCUAGCUGGAGCUAAACAUCGUUCCUUCAUUGUCAAUAGCUACAUGUGUAAGUGGCAUAUUAGGCUGAUCGUGGGCAUGACACUAGGGACACUGGUAAUGUACUGGGCAUUCUUGUUUGUUGACACAUAAAUUUUGGCAAUCUGUUUAGUCAUUUAUUACAUUAAAAAUUAUGGGUUAAUUUUAUCCCUGAAAAAAUAGUUAAUUGCAUAGCAUAUGAUUUUAGGUGCAUUUAUUUUUAAUUUACAUUUACAUUGGGCUGGUGACGGAUGGAUUCGAAUCGAUGCUUCAGAAACUUUAAUUUGAUGAGUUGGACUAAGCUCACGAAAAGAACAAAUUGGCCCAAUCUCGUAUCCUUGGGGAGAUUUUACGAAUUUAUUUUUGUGAUAUUUCAAUUCAAAAGAAAAUAUUCGUUUGGAAAGACAAAUAUUGCGUUUGGAAAAGAAAUUUUUGUGGAUAUGAUUUUGGAAAAUUUAAAACCCUAAUCCGUGGCUUAUAAAUAGAUUAAUAGUUUUGAGGAGGUCACACAUAUCGAUACACACGGCCGUAUGUAGGGGGCUUCUCUCGAGUUUUAGAUAAAAAAAAAUUGAACACGAAAAGAGAAGAAAAACUUUGGUUUUCUCCGUUCGUUCCUUUGAAAGAAAAAGAAAAGCUUUCCUUACCAAAAAAAAAGAAAAAGAAAAGCUUUUUUGGGAGAAAAGUCAACAGCAAAAGAAGCUUUUGCUUCUGCAGAUAGAGAAAAAGGCAGCAGAAGGUAUACAGAGAGGGACGUGGGUGUGACGUCCAGCAACAGGGAAAGGAGGGAAAAAGCAAUCACUAUUCAUCUUCUUCCCCCUGCCCGCAUCUGCCGUUCGCAAGUCUAGCACCGCCGCUCCGCCGGUCUCGCCACGACGCACAGCCCCAUCGCCGGCACCCGCCGCUGCUACCCGCCUCUGCAGCAGAUCUACGUCCGUCUCCGCCAGCCUCCACCAGCGACCGACGCUGCUCCUGUCCGUGAAGCCCACGAAGCCGCCGUGUCGGCACCACCUCCGCCAGCCACCUCCGCGCCUCCGCCGCUGUCGCCCCGCCAGUCGCCGGAGAUCCUCCUCACCGCGAACCCGUGCCGGUCCACGACGUCGCUUCUGCUCGCGUUCCCAGAAGCCGCAAGCCACCGGUCCCCGCCGCGCUCCGCCUCGCUUCCAGCCCGCGCCGGCCCGCGACACCAUCGCUGUCCCGAUCUCACGCCCGGGAGCCCCGACGACGGCAGAUCUGAGCCGGUCGUCGCUCCACCGUCGAGCAAGCCCCGUACCACGCAUCCGCGCUGCUGUACCGUCCGCGACCGCCCGGUGCCCGACAACCUUGUCUGUUGCGCCAUCGCCGUGACCCCCGAGCGACGCUGCUGCAGCACCCGACGUCCGGCGUCCCCCCGCUUGCUGCUGGUCCUCCUCGCCGGAGCUCCGACGACUGCAACCUUCGACCGAGCACCCACCACGAGCUGCCAACGUCGUUUGGAAAGCAAAAGGAAAAAAUGAAAAAAUCAAAUUAGGUAGAUUUACUUUAUUUUAUUAGGCAGAUUUAUUUUAUCUUGUUUUAUUUUUUGCAUAUUGCUUUCUUCAUUUGAAAUAUUUCUCCAUGCAUAAUUGAAAAUCUCGACAUACCACCUAAUUCGCAAUCACGCAUGGAUUUUUUACUCCAUCUAUAAGGCUUUAAUCAAGCAGGAAUAAAAUGGAUAUUUUGAUCUUUAAGGCUUAAAAUCAAUUUAUCGAUUUUAUUAGCGAGAUAUUGUCCAUUGAUUUGAACGAUGUAUGAUAUCUUUGAUGAUUUUGAAUUGUCCGUCUUAACUUGAUUGCUUUAUUUAUUUUGAAAUAUGUUUGGGUUAGAAUGUUGCAUGCUUUAGGUUAUUUGCAUAUUUAGACUAAGCAUUUUUAUUUAUCAUGAAUUGUCGAAAAAUAAAUAAAUUUAGGAUGUUAGAUUUUUGUUUCAUUAGCUUAAAUUGCAUGUUUAAUUAUUUGACUUUUUUUUCGAAAUUAAUUAAAAAAAUAAAAAUCAUCAUGCAUAUAUCAUGUAAAAUUAUGACAUCCUUUGUACGUCAUUGCAUAUUAGGAUAAAUUGCAUAUUUCAUUUUAAAUUUAGAUUUUUAGAUAGAUUGCAUUUUAGUUAGGGAUUUCUAAGUUAGGGUAACAUCACUUAACUUCAUUCCUAAUACAGAUCAUAUGAUAUCUUAAUCUAGUUAGAUAAUUUUCACAUUUUAUUUAAUUCCAAAUUACAUGAAAAAAUACAAAAAAAUGUCUUAGAAUAAAUUAGUUCUAGGAUAGAUUGCAUUUUUAGGAAAAAGAAAAAAUGUCAUAUGCACGUCAUUAGGGUUAGAUUCAUUGAGAUGCAUGUCAUUUAGUAUUUUUGCUAGGCUCAUUUAAUUAGAAAUUACAUGUCAUUAGAAUUAGGUCAUUUAGUUAAUAUUGCAUUGCAUAUUGCAUGAUUUUCAUUAAUUAAGUGAAAACAAAAAAAAUUGCGUGUUAAUUAGAAACCAUAUCUAAGGUUGUUGAUGUGGAUUUUGAUUUAACAUUGUAGGUGCUUCCGUUGCUUUAAGGUAAGUUUUUGCAAUUUAUUUAUUGUUUAUUUGGGUGUUAAAUUGGUGGUUUAUGCACCCGCAUAAUCACCUUACAUGUUAGGUAAAUAGAUGUAAAAUCAAUUUAAGCUGCUCGCAAAAACAUUUUUUGGAAAAUAAAAGAAUGGUACCAAAAGGGCAUUAGAGGAAUCUAGUGUAACCAAGUCCCCGUAUCCAUAGUCUCUGGUUCGUAGGAGUAAAGUAAAACUCCCGUUACUUUACUUGGGUUUUUAAUCGACCCACCAAAAAUAGAUUAGUGGCGACUCCUGAUUAAAAUUUAAUCGCAUGUUAAAAAUUUGAACCCAAGUCGCGAAUUGGUAUAAGCUUGGGAGAGCCCGAGCUAAGCUUAAAGCUUAAAAUCCAUUAGCCAAACCCUAGGUGGUUCUCAUCCGAAAAAUUGGCUGCGACAUUGUUAAAAGCAAGUGGUGCAUCCUGACGAGGUCGCUGCUCGAUAACGCCAUUAGGAUCAAAGACUCAUUGAGGAUUAGACUCACUAGUUUGGGUUGUCGAAAUUGUUUCUUUCCUUUGCAAAAUCCUUAUAGGUGCUAAGGGUGGUACGCUCUAUCCUACAGUGCCAAAAGUUAUCGCAAGAGAUGAUGGCAAAGAUGCGUACCUUAUUGCUAUGGGAGCAUUCCCAAUCUAUGGCUGGGCUGAUCUUACUGGGAUUCCUUGUAGCCCCUAAGCACAUUCAUGAUAUGUGUUAAUUAUCAACAACCUGAUGACAUUAGUCAUUUGUCUCACCAUAUAAUCAGGGAAUUCAUUCUGGGUUUCUUCAACGGUUCGUCUCAUUGACAAAAGCAUGACAGGGGUAAUUUCCACUGAUCUCCUUGGUUCCUCCACAUGCUGCCUGGGACAUCUAUGUUCUCACCUUAUGCCUAAUUUGGAACAGGUUGAGCAAAUGAUGACUCAGCACGUGGAAUAUCCUCCAUUGAUGGUAAGGGCUUGUCUAUGACACCGUUUAGAUUGUUGCGACUCCUUGUAUGUGGCAUAGCACUCUCUCGUAUUAACACAGCCGUCCCACUGGACGUGCCAAAAAGAUGUUUUGUUAGUUUUGGAUCCCACAAAGAAAUAUUUUUCUUAAAGUGUUAUAUUUUGGUUUUUAUUAUAGGAGACUUAGGUUCUGUGUUAGUAUUGGAUAAAAAGGGUAUAUAUAUAUUAUGGUCCUGAAUAUAAUGGAGUCCCUUAACACAAGUUCGAAAUUGAAGAUAACUAAUAUUGAAUUCUAAUCAACAGCUUGAUUUUAAACUCACUUUAAUGUACUAAUAAAAGCCCAUUAUAAUCAAAGUGGUUUGUAUAGUAUCGAAGCUGAUUCGACAACAUUGAACAUUGAAGAUGUCACAUCCCGAUCCUCGAGCGCGUGCCCAUCCCUCGGUGGUCAAUAAAUUUGCGACGUCUCAGGACGCGUCGCCAACCCAUUCAUUUUAAUAUGCAUACGGAAGCGAAACAAUACCCCUGACAACAAACGCUUUGGAUGUGACAUCCUGAUUUUCAGGUUCUGAUUUCAAUUAGUUAAAUUGGGCAUUUCAUCGACACGACUACAGUGUUUUUCUCUGAGUUGGCCACUCACAAGAUAACUAGACUAGCUGGGUAAGUUAUUAAGGACUUUAAGACAGAUAGACUUGAGAAUUCGACCAAGAAUCGACUUCUCGACCGUGCUCAUCUUUAGAGAUCAUUACGACACAGUUAAAAAUUGAAUUAAGAUUAGAGAUAGGUCGGUUCAACUGAGAUGUGUGACCGAUCGUGGGUGACUCCACUAAAUUGAAAAACUCUCGUUGACCGACAAUAAUUUGAUUUUAUUGUUGUUUUGGUACCUUGUGUCUGUAUUUGAACUCUCGAGAUUUUCACGAAAAUCGAGAAUCGACAAUGUGUCGAGUGGGUUCAUCGUGGCUCGAAGAAAAUCGACCACGGGUCAUUUGUCCUGAAAAGUUUUGAAAACUACCUAGUAGCCUAGGUCACGCUAAAAACGCGUCCGAGUGAAAUUAACCGCCAAUCUAAGUCCGAUUUCAGAAAUUAAAGUUUCUGUCAUGUCACAAUAAAUUCUAGGAGUAUUGACUUAGUCUCAGAAGAUUUUUCUGACACCCGACACUUUUUGGAAAAAAAGUCGUCGCCGAGUUGUUUUAGUGCAGAAAUUGCCAAAGAUGGUUUUUGGUCACAAAAUUGAGAUGCAAGAUGGGUUAGUGGAUGAGGAAAAAUAGCAAUUGAAGCAUUGAGAUAUCGAUUGAGUUUAUAGAGGCUGAGUGAGAGUGAAUCAAGAGAGAAUGAUUGUGCAAUUGAAGCAUUUGCUAAGAAAUUCGUAACAUCCCCACACCCUAGCAAGAAUGGACCACUUGGGAGGUUAUAUGAGACAUUUUUUAUGGCCUAAUGAAGGCCAAGUAUUUAUACAUGGCUAGAUUGAUUUAAGGGAGAUAUUUUGCAAAAUAUCAAGCUUUGGUGGAGCCCUCACUCCUCAUACCUAUCCACCUCUCUUUCUCUCAUACCCCACAACCGGACAACCUCUCUCUCCCUUCUCAUUUUUUGUGCGGCACCAUAGCUAAAGAAGACAAGAAAUCCACACCAUCUGCUCUCUCUCUUGUGCGCCAACCCCACCGAACGAAGACAGAACCACUCAGUAGCUCCGCAAACCCGCGCAACCACCGACUCUGCUCCACUACGCUUUGUCUUCCACGGUCAAUUUCCUCAAAAGUCUUCAACCCGUGAAAUUCGGUUGACCCCACAAGCCAGCGAAGCCACCGAACGCCCAUCUCCUCUCCAGCCACGUGUCUUCAACAGCGCAGCACCAACGUCUGCGUCACCUUCGUUUCCUCAGCUCCAUGUCGGUUGAUGCCGAAACAGCUUCAAAUCCGCGUGUCUUCGCCAUCAACUUCACGAAGCUGCGAGCAUGAAAUCGAGCGGCCUUCAUCUGGCCGUUCGAAGCCCACCGAAGUCUAGCGUUGUGGGCCCAUCUCAAACGAAAUUCCAACUCGCAGCCCAUUCUUCAAUUGAACUGAAGCCCGCAAGAACAGCCCAGUUCAGUUUUUGUUUCACCCACUUGAAGCCCAAAAGCCUGUAGCAGUUUGGCCCAUCUUCAGUAGUCUUCGAGCCCAUCAAUCCAGCAGCAAGUCUUUAAGCCCAGUCGAAUUUCAUCAGUUGCAACCCAGCCCAGUCCAGUCCAAGUGAGUUAUUUGGUCAAGCCCAAUCCUGCAGUCCAUCAACUGAAAUUUUGAGGCCCAAUUUGUAGCAAAGCAAUUGAAGUCCAGUCCACAACUUGAAGCCCGUCUUCAGCAGGCCCAACCCAAAAGCAAGAAUAAAUCUCAGUUGGGCUGAGAUUUGUUGGGCCCAAGUUUAAGGCCCGGUCCAAGCCCGCCGGUGUCGUUGAAAGCUCGAUUUCGGCCGCCAUCGCGGUGUUUCGGUCUUUGCUUUGCCAAGUGAGUUUUGCUCACUAAUACCUUCUUAGUUUGCUAAUGAUGCUUAAGGGUUAAUUAGAUUUAAUUAAGUGCAAUUAGGUGAUUAGAUUAAAGUAGAUUAGUGAUUAUUAGAUAAUUAUGAUGCAUGUUAGGCAAUUGGAUUGAGCAUUUGGCAAGUAGACAUGUACUGGUAUUUAUUAAAUGCAUCUCGGGAUUUUUCCCGACCCUUAUUGGGUUUCAAUUAGGCAUUAUGGGCCUAAAUUGGAUUUUUAGUAUUUAUUUAUAAUUUUCGAAAUUAUUUAAUUAAUUAUUGAUUUUCCAGAAAUUCGGCAGGAUAGCCGACAAUCGGAAUUUUAUGCUGAUUGUCGUGGCGUAGUCUGUUUAUUUAAUUGAGUUUUAUUUUGUGCUAAAUUGAAUUAUUUGUGAAAUUGAGAAUUAUUCUUUAAUUGAAUAAUCUUUGGUUAUUAAUUGAAAAAUAACUAGGCAUCGGUUGAUAAUGCCUAAAAUGUUUUGGUGGAAUAUAGAAAAUGGUGAGAUUUAUAGAAAUGAAAUUAUGAUAUUUUGGCUAAGGCUGACCGUGUACCCACACAUGACUAUUUUCAUCGGGAAUGAUAAAAUGGUGAUUUGAUUAAAUGAUCAAUUUUCAGCAUACUAUGAAAGUAUGUCUGGCAGCUUUUGGUGAGCAUAUAUAAUUUUUAGCAUACUAUGAAAGUAUGGCUGGCAGCUUCUGGUAAGCAUAAAUAAUAUACUAUAUGAGUAUAAUUACGGCAGCUUAUAGUGAGCUAUAGUAUACUAUAUUGAUAAUUGCGGCAGCUUCUGGUAAGCUAUAGUAUAUUGAUAAUUGCGGUAGCUUCUUGUGAGCAUAAAUAUUAUACUAUAUGAGUAUAAUUGUGGCAACUUCUGGUGAGCAUAUAUAUAUUAUUUUCGGUAUACUAUAAAAGUAUGACUGGCAGCUUUUAGUGAACAUAAUAAACAUAUCAGAUCAAUGAAUUUGGCAGCUUCUGGUGAGCAUAUUAUUAUAUCAGAUCAAUGAAUCUGGCAACUUCUGGUGAGCAUAUUAUUAUAUCAUAUUAGUGGAUUUGGCAGCUUCUGGUGAGCUAUACUAUCUAUAUAUCGGCUAAAGUGAACAGUCCUAGAUUAUGGUCGGACUCAUAGAUAGUAUUGAUUGAGAUGACCGGGGAAUGGUCAUGUUGACAUGUAAUCAACUAGGUCGAUUGAUCGAUGAUUCGAUAUAAGUGUGGAUUUAUUGUGAUUCAAUGGUUCGAUAUGAUGUUGUGAAUUGAUUGAUUGAAUGGAAAUGACCGUGAGUGGUCUUGUUGGCGUGUAAUUGAUUAGGUCAAUUUGAUCGAUGCUUCGAUCAGUGAUGUGAUUGCUUGGGUGCCUAUUUGAUCUGUGCUAAUAUGCAGGUGGAAUCUGAGGCCAAGGUAAGUCCUUUGACUCAUGUUGUGCAUAGGCAGCCCUAAGGUGUAUUAGUUUACUAAUCGGGUUUUAGGGAGUAAAAUUUGCUGAGACGUAGUCUCAUCCCGGUUGUGGGACAACAUUUCAGGACCCUGAUGAGGAAUCUGAGGAGAAAGAACCCGAAGAGGAGUAUCUGGAGGAGAACCCCAAGGAUGAUCUAGAGUAGGAUCCUGAUGAGAAUUGAGACUCUACUCCUAUCUGAUGACUUUUGCUGUGGAACCUAAUUGAGUAGAAACUGACCUUUUUAGCAUGGCUUGUAUAUGUACAUGUAUGACUGAGUUGUUAUAUAUAUACAUAAGGGUGUUGGUUUUCAGGUUCAAGUUUAUAGUCCUACUUGUAUAUCCCAUUGCUUUAUUGUUUGGGGAUUUUUAAUACUGCUUCCGCAUGUGCUAUUAAAAAGAAAAGGGUCGGCGAUAUGUAGUCCUGGGAUAUCGCAUUUAAAAAUCGACCAAGGUAAGGGAUGUACGCGUGCCUGAGGAUUAGGGCGUGACAUGGGAUAGGAAGAAGCAGGAACCUAAAUCACCGCCAAAACACUUCUUUAUAAACACAUAAGGUUUAUAUACAACAUCAAUCUACAGAAGACCGUCUCAACAAAAAGGGAACUAUCCUAUGACCAGCUAGUCAGACACAUUCGUUGAUCCUUCGGUCUCCACAGGUUCCAUGGGCGUUGGGUCCUCCACCACACCAUCAUGAGGGUCUGCUGCACUCUCACCUAGAACGGCAUCUACUAUCACAGCGGGAACCUCAAAACCCCGAAGGGGACCCACACAAAAUUCAUUGGGUCCAAAGCGAAACCACACCCUAAAUCGAUGAGGUACCCUCUGAGGUAAACCCUCUUUGACCCAAACAGUGGUUACUACAAGUUCGUAGACCUAGUGACUUUCGGGAUCACGGUAGUUAAAAACCCGCUCGGUAACCCUCAUUGGCCAACAAAAACGCUCAGGAGGAGUAGCCAUCUACGGACCUGAAAAAGUUGAGCCGACGACGGGGUGAGAUAUUGUCUCAGCAAGUUCACCUUGUAAACUCCGAAUAUGAAGGAAAUAUGCCUAGAGGCCUAGCCACACAAAUUAGAGGACUUACCUUGCCUCAGUUCCUUCCUACAUGUCAGUAUAAAUUUAUAUUCAAUCAUUGCUUACACAAGCAUGAACUACCGACACACAUCGGUCUAUCAAUUCAAUCAAUCACUGCUCACAGAAGUAUGAACUACCGACACACAUCGGUUCAUCAAUUCAAUAAAUCACUGCUCACACAAGUUGACAUACACUAUUGCUCACCCAAGCUGACUUCUAUCAAUGCUUACACAAGCUGACAUAGAUCAUUGAGAUCAUUACUCACACAAGCUGACUUUUAUUGAUGCUCACACAAGCUGACUAAUCAUUGCUCUCACAAGCUGAUUUAUCUCAAUGCUCUCACAAGCUAACUUUUCAUUGGGCUCAAACGAGCUAUCCAAUCAAUACUAGUCACACAAGCUGCUAUGGUACUUAAAAAUCACAUUCGGUGUCAAAACCCGACACCUGGUAUUUUCGAGUUAAAUACCAAAACUUUACCAACAUCACUUAAUUUCACAAUAUAACAUUCAAUUACAGAAAUUAAACAUACCACUGCGAUCAGCUCGAAAUUCUAUCGAGUGGCUCUCCCGGUAUAAUUCCUGAAAAAUAUUAAUUAAUUAAUAAUUAAAUAAAUUUCAAAAAUUAAUUGAAUUUUAAAUAUAAAAUAAUAUUUAAUUUAAAUAAUUAAUUAAAUGAAAUAAUUAAUUAAAAGUUUAAUCAUGCUUACACUAAUCUAAUUGCAUAAUUAAACUAAUUAAUCUAUUCCCUAAACUAAUCAUUCAUCUAAUCUAAUUAACAUUUAAAUAAGCUAAUCUAACCACCUAAACAUGCUUAGCCUAAUCUAAACACUCCUUAAGCGUAAUUAACUCCCUAAGUAGAGUUUAGUGAGUAAACUCACUGGAUUAAUGUUCCGAUGAGUCCACGCCGACGGCAACGCCAAGGCGGGCGACAAACCUCCUCGCGGCGACACCAACCAAGGCUUGGAAGGGCUUGAAAACGGGCCUUGAAGUCUUAAGACCCUUGCUGUCUUCGGCCUUUGUUUGCUGGACCAAAGGGCUGCUCGAGCGGCUUGAAGUGGCGAGGAGGGACGGUGGAGGUUGCAGCGGCCUAGGCGGGUGACUCCAGUAGUUGACCGAUGGCCUGAGGAGCUCAGGGGACACGAUUGGACAUGAGAGAAGGCGCAGAACAACGGCUGGGUGCGAGGAUAGCAGACGGUGCACGCGGGCGAGCAGGCGCGAGUGGCGGCGGUCCGGUGGCCUUAGCUGGCUGUUCCCGGGGAUUGGACGGCGGCGGUGACUGCUCAGGCGACCUUGACAACAACUAAGGGGACUCGGGGGACGGUGAAGAGGUGUGGACUAGGCAGGAUGAGUGGGUGCAGCUCACUGGGCGUGACAGCGAGCGAAGGGCAAGUGAGCGGCGACAAGGGGCGCGACAGGCUUGGGCGGUUGCUUGGCUAAAGGGGGAGGAAGGCUGGCCGGUUUCUCUAGUUUUUCAAGCUCUCUAAUGACCUCAACAAUGGAGAAAGCCAAGCUUCAAGGAGGAAGAAGGCUCAGUUGAAGAGGGGGACCCCAAAGUGGCUUCUAAGGCCUCAACACUUGGCCAACACACUCAUCACAUGCCCCCACCAUGUCAGCCCACAUGCUCAGCCAAUUCUCUCUCCCCAAGUUUCCUCAAGAAGCUUCUUAAGGUGUCCAAAAUGUUGUGUCCCCCAUGGCCUACGAAUUUGGACAUUUACACAUCAAUUCCAUUCAAUUCCCAUUCAAUUCUCAUCCAAUUGAGCUCAAUUUGUUGUCCAAAAAUCCAACCAAGGUGCCAUCAUCCUAAUCAACCUUUUUCCUUACCAAUUAGUCCAACUUGAAUCCCAAGAAUGUGACAAAAAAUGGGCCUACGAAUUUCCCGAUCCAAAAUGCUCGUACUUUGGAUUUUUCGCUGAAAAUCUCGGUUUGUAGAAAAAUCUUUGGAGGGUGAGUCGACGUUCCUAAAAUGACUCGUGACAUGAUAGAACUUCUAAUUUUUGAAAUCGGGUUCAACUUCGCGGUUAAUUUCAUUCUAACAUGAUUUUAGCGCGUCCUAACCUACUGAGUAGCUUUUAGGAACUUUUCAUGCAAUUGACCCGUGGUUGAUUAUUUUCAAGCCACAAAGUACAUCUUCAACACAUUGGCGACUCUCGGUUAUCUUAAAAAUCUCGAGAUUUAUACAGGGUACCAAAACGACAGAGAAAUCGGUCUAGUGCCGAUCGACAAGAAUUUUGUAAUUAGGAGGAAUCACCCACACUUAAUCACAUACAUUUCUCGGGUUGACCUAUUUCCGGUCUCUAAUCAGUUUGUGCCGUAAUGACCCUUGCAGAUUAGUACAGUCGAGCAGUCGAUUCCUGGUCGAAUUCUUAAGUCUAUUGUGUUUCGAUUCCUUAACGGCUUCAUCCGGUAGGUUAGUUAUCUCAUGAGUGGCAUACUUAGAGAAAAGAGCUAUAGGCGCGUCGAUGAAAAGACCAACUCAUUCAAUUGAAAACAUAAUUGGAAAAUCAGGAUGUCACAACUCUUCCCCUCUUAUAAAAAUUUUGUCCUCAAAAUUUAAACCAUUACAAUUCCUUAAACAAAAAGGUGGGUGUACAGUCGUGUCAUCGACUCUUCACUCUCCCAGGUUGCUCCUUCAGUGCUGUGGUGUUGCCAGACCACUUUGACCAAAGGGAUCAUCUUGGUGUGCAGAACUUGUUCUUUCCGAUCCACAAUCUAAACCGGGCUUUCCACAUACGACACUCUGUCAUCCACGUCUAAAUCCUUAAAAUUCAGCAUGUGGGUUGGGUCAGGCUCAUACUUCCUUAACAUCGACACGUAAAAGACGUCAUGCACUUGUGCCAACCUCGGCGGUAAUGCAAGACGAUACACUAGGAUCUCGAUUCUUUCAAGAAUCUCAAAUGGACCUACGUACCUAGGACUCAGCUUUCCUUUCUUGCCAAAGCGCGAAGUAUCCCUCAUUGGUGACACCUUCAGAAAAAAGUGAUCACCAACUUGGAAUUCCAAAGGCCUUCGACGCUUAUCGGCGUAGCUUUUCUAGUGGCUCUUAGCGGUCUUUAAUAUGUCUCUGAUGACGGCAAUUGCAUCCACUGACUACUGAACUAACACUGGGCCUGUAAUCUUUCGUUCUCCGACCUCAUCCCAACACACUGGCGUUCUGCACGCCCUGCCAUACAACGCUACGAAAGGAGCCAUCUGAAUGCUCUGCUAGUAGCUGUUGUUAUAGGCAAACUCAACAAGAUGAAGCUGUUCCUCCCAGCUUCCCUUGAAAUCCAACAUGCAAGCUCGCACCAUGUCUUCGAGGGUUUGAAUUGUCCUCUCAGACUGGCCAUUCGUUUGAGGAUGAUAAGUCGUACUAUACUGCAGCUUCGUUCCUAAAGCGGUCUGCAAACUCUUCUAGAAGGCAGCUGUAAACCUCGGGUCUCGAUCUGAGGUCAUUUUCACUGGCACUCCAUGUAGACGAACAAUCUGACGCACGUACAACUCUGCGUGCCUGUCCAAAUCAAGGUCCUUUCAACUGCAAUGAAAUGAGCCGACUUCGUCAGUCUAUCGACCAUUACCCAAAUGGAAUCAUUACCCCUCUGACUCCUUGGUAAGCCUGUCACAAAAUCCAUUGUGAUGUGCUCCCAUUUCUACUCGGGAAUCUAGAGAGGUUGCAGAAGUUCUCACGGCUUAUAGUGUUGUGCCUUCACUUGCCGACACAUCAGACACUUGAUAACAUGCUUGGCGAUGUUCACUUUCAUACUGGACCACUAAUAGUAUUGACGUAGAUUCUGAUAUAUUUUCGUACUGCCAGGAUGAAUGCUGUAGCUGCUACGAUGAGCGUUCGAUAAAAUCUCUUCCUUGAGCGCUACACCGUCAGGUACACAUAAUCGUCCUCGAAACCUCAAUAUUCCGUUCUCAGAAACCUGAAAGUCAGCAUUCUUCUUUUCGGUAUUCUCCUAUAGAAUCUUAUGAAUCUCUAUGUCUGUCCACUGAAGCAUCUUGAUCUUUAUCUGCACUUACGAUUCAAUUCUGAGGGUGGCCAUAAGAUUCGAAAGGUGGCCUACCUCAAAUUUGAAACCCGAAUCUCGAGCUUUCUCAAGUAAAGCCCAUUCCUUGAGCACCAUAUGCGUGACUGAAGAUUUCCGACUUAGUGCAUUAGCAACUUUGUUUGCCUUUCCAGGGUGAUACAAGAUAUGACAGUCGUAAUCCUUCAAGAGUUCCAUCCAGCUACGCUGUCUCAUAUUCAAUUCCUUCUAAGAGAAUAAGUACUUGAGACUUUGAUGGUCAAUGAAGAUCUAGAAUCUUUUUCCACAAAAAUAAUGUCUCCAAAUCUUCAGAGCGAAAAUGAUUGCUGCGAGUUCCAAGUCAUGCAUCGGGUAAUUCAGUUCAUGAGGCCUCAACUGACGGGACACAUAUGCAACAACCCUACCAUGUUGCAUCAGCAUGCAACCCAGUCCUCUAAAUGAUGCAUCACUGUAGAUCUCAUAUCCUCCAGGACCAGAAGGAAUGGUUAGCAUAGGUGCGAUAGUCAGCUUCUGCUUAAGCUCUUGGAAACUACGCUCGCACUUGUCUGUCCACACCUCGAGUCAACGAUGACGCUAAAGCUGAAAACCCCUCUACGAACCUUCUGUAGUACCCUGCUAAAUCCAAGAAACUUCUGAUCUCUGUCACUGUAGUCGGUCUUGGCCUGUUGAUAACUGCUUCAAUCUUGGCGGGGUCCACAGAAAUUCCUUCGCCUAAAAUCACGUGACCUAGGAACGCUACACGAGUCAGCUAAAACUCGCACUUGCUGAACUUAGUAUACAACUCAUGACUUCGCAAAGUCUGAAGCACUAUCCUUAAGUGCCUUUUGUGCUUCUCGGGACUACUAGAGUACACCAUGAUAUCAUCAAUAAACGCGAUCAUGAACUGAUCCAGAUACUUUUUGAACACACGAUUCAUUAGAUCCAUAAAAGCAGCUGGGGCGUUCAUCAAACCAAACGGCAUUACAGUGAACUCAUAAUGGCCGUAUCGAGUACGAAACGCUGACUUCGGUAUGUCCUCAUUUCUGAUCCUUAGUUGGUGAUAUCCCGUCCUCGAGUCAAUCUUUGAAAAUAUCGACGCUCCUGGCAACUAAUCAAAUGAAACGUUGAUCCUUGGUAGUGGAUACUUGUUCUUGAUUGUCACCUGAUUGAGUUGACGAUAUUCGAUGCACAAACGCAACGAACCAUCUUUUUUCUUUACAAAGAAAACUGGUGCUCCUCAAGGUGAUGCACUGGGAUGUAUUAACCUCUUAUCCAACAAUUCCUGCAUCUGCAUCUUCAAUUCCUUCAACUCAGAUAAAGCCAUCUGGUAAGGAGCCUUAGAGAUUGGCUCUGUCUCGAGUGCUAACUUGAUCACAAACUCUAUUUCCCUCUCUAGCGGUAAACCCAACAAUUCCUUUGAAAGCACAUCCUGAAACUCUUGGACCAUUGAGAUGUCUUGAAUCUUCAGUUCCUCGACUGUCAUAUCCACGACGGUCGCCAAGUAACCUUGGCAACCCCCGUCUAACAAACAGGUUGCCUCAAGCGACAAGAUUAAGGUAAUCGAGGGUCCUCCUUGACUUCCAAUAAACUCAAAGCUCUCACCCCCUAACGGGUUAAACUGAAUCACUUUGCAAUAGCAAUCCAUCUUAGCUCUUUGCUUGGUAAGCCAGUCCAUGCCAAUUAUUACAUCAAAAUCAUACAUGACUAGGACUAUCAAGUUUAUCCUCCCCUCUUGCUCACCAAUCACUAACUUGCAACCAGAACAACCCCAUGCAGCUAACACCUUAUCUUUUAACGGUGUAUAUAUGCUAACCACUUACUCCAACAAUUUAGGACUCAAUCCUACCAGUUUAACAAACUGCUCAGCUAUAAAAGGAAUGAGUGGCACCAGGGUCAAAUAAAGCAUAUGCAGCAUAGUCAUUCAACGAGACCAUACUUGUAAUCACAUCAGGCGCAUCCUCAGCCUGUCCUCUCAUGAUAAAGUACAUCGUUCCAUGUGCCGGAGGUCGGUUCAGUCCACCCUGUGGUGCGAUUUGCGACGCAAACCCCCUAUUCUAACCCAUUGGUGGUGGUGGCGGUAAUUGCUGUGGUCCCCUCUGCUUUAUGGGACAGUCUCUGGCCAGGUGACCUUGUUGGCCACACUCAAAACAAGAUCCCAUCCUGAAAUGGCAAGGGACUGAUCCAUGUCGCCUUCCACACAAGCGACACACGGCAUUCUGACUUGGUGCUGACUUUCCAAUUCCACCCUUCCUGUUGGGCGGAAUAGGAUAUCUUCCUCCAGUCAUGGGUCUCUUCCCAAACCGGUUUCCGUCUCUGUUCGAACUAAACCUUGAACUAAAUGCAGCAGUCUGUUCACUCAAGUUCCUCUUAAUCAGCUAGGCCCGACCAUAAACUUCAUUAUAAUCCUUUAGGUCGAAUGGCACUAACGGAUUCUUCAGCUCUGGUCGGAGGCCAAUCCUGAACCUCCAAGCUUUCUCUUCUAGAUCCUCUAUUAGUCUUGGAGCGUACUGAGACAGCUCUAUGAACUUGGCUUCAUACUAAUCCACAGUUAGCAUGCCUUGACGAAGGCACUGGAAUUCCUCCAUCUUCUACUCUCAGGCGCUACCCGAAAAGUAUUUACCAUUAAAUGUUAUGAGGAAAGUGUUCCACACCGAGACUACGCCUUCAGGAAAUAUCGUGCCUCUGGUGGCUCUCCACCAAGUAUUAGUGUUACCCUACAGCUGGUAUAUUGCAAGGACAACCUUUUCCUCCUCACUGCACAUCAACAAUGCAAAAGCCUUUCCAGGUCUUGGACCUAGAGUGACACAGCUUCAGGAUCUCCUGCGCCAUUGAACCUCAGCGGGUUCAGCUUCAAGAAUUGCUCCACGAGCUUAUGAAUAGGCCUCUCUCGGUACAACUACAACCUCAAGCGGAACUUUCGCAGGAGAAGCAGCGGCAACAACGGCAGCAGUAGCGGCAGCUUGAGCGGCGACGGCUUGAUUCUGGGCCUGCUGUCCCAUCAGAUUUCUUAUCGCCUCAAGCGCUUGCAUGAUCCCUUUGAUUUUGGGAUCACCAAGGGCUACUACCCCAGCACCAACAGGAGGCAGUGCUACUCCACUAGCGCUGGCCUUAGCCUGCGCUCUACCACGGCCACCUCGGGUACCGACCCUGGCCGGCGUACUACCUUGAGUAACUGGACCUAUGGUCCUCUUUCUAGGAGUCCUCUGCUCCUGAUCACUCAUCUACAGGAUCCUUAUAGAUACAUGUUUUCCAAUUCCAAUACCAUAUUAGAAUUUGAGUGAUCCCACACCAAACAAUUUACCAUUCAGCUAACAAUCACAUGCAUCGGCAUGAAAUAGAGGUCGUUUCUACUUACUAUCCUAAGAAUCUAUCACACCUUAUCACUCCAACUAUCGACCAACUCUGACACCACUCCGAGGUGGGGAUGUCACGCCCCGAUCCUCAAGCACGUGUCCAUCCCUCAGUGGUCAAUAAAUUUGCAAUGUUCCAGGACGCGUCGCCAACCUAUUCAUUUUAAUACGCAUCCAAAAGCGAAACAAUACCCUUGACAACAAAUGCUUGGUGUCAUGCCUCGAAUGUCGAGCGCGCGCACAUCCCACUGCGAUCAAUACAAAUGUGACGUUCCUAGGAGCCGUCGUCGACCCAUUUAUUUUUAAUGCACAUACGAAAGCGAAACAAAUACCCCUAACAACAAACGGCAUGAGAUAGGAAAGUAGGGCACAUUUCACAAAAGCAUACUUUUAUAAACACCGGGUUUAGAUACAAAAAUGAGUUUGGUCAAAAGUCUACAAAAAGGUUGGCUCUCAAAAAGAUGUUGUCCUACGAUAUACUAGUUGGACACAUACGCCGAUCCUUUGGACUCUACCUCCAUAGACUCCGGGGUUGCUGGUCCUCCACGGCCACCAUCUAAGGACCUAAAAAUUUAGCCUACGACGGGGUGAGACAAUGUCUCAGCAAGUCCAUCCCCUAAACCCCUAUUAGGAAGGAAAUACGCCAUCAGGGCGCUCUAGCCACAUAACCACACAAUUAGAACAGAUAACUUACCUCGCCUCAGUUCCUUCCUGUACGUCAGCACAGUUCAUUUCACAAUUGCAUAUAAUUAAUGCAUAUAACAAUUGAAACACCUCAAUUACUCAAUAAAUCACAAGAGUCCCAAUUAUAAGGCCAAACCGUUAUGACACAUUCCGUACUAUGUCACACAGUCUUGUCUCAUAAUUAGACGCAUCAAACUCAAUCAAUCAUGCGUUCCAAUUGUUAAUUAAACCCCUCUAGGGUAUUGUUGACUCCCAUGUUUGGCGGUCUAUUGGCGUAACCAGGCAUCGUCCCUUCCCCAUUGAGCAUGGCUACGUCUCUCAUAGACGGCUUUCUCGAAGGAACAUAGGUCUAGAAUCUACUGCGACCCAAUACCCUAAUGCAUGGUUAACCCGAAAAGGGAUUUAGUAAUGUCCGGCGUAAAUGCUCGAGACGGAUUCUCUUUAACCAACACACGACCAAUCAAUCUCGGCCCAGGAUACUGUGUAUUGCACACAAAUGCCUAAAUUAAAAUAGUGAUCCUGGCCUAUUUUAUUCAUCUUAAAAACAUUCGGGAAAAUAGUUGUGUGUGGGUACACAAUCAAUUCGAACCAGAAAAACUGAUACAUUUUCUUUUCAAACCCCACUAUUUGAUAUAGUACUUAAAAUCCAUUUUCGGUGUCAAAACUCGACACCCGGGAUUUUCUGAUAAAUAUCAUAUUUUCACAAUCAUUACUUAAUUUGCACAAUCCAUCAAUCAAUUGCAUAAUCUGAACACACCAUAGCAGUCAGCACGAAAUUUCAGUCACCGACUAUCUCGGUCUAAUUUUCGAAAAAUAAUAAAUGAUUAAAUAUAUUUUGAAAUUAAAUUAAAUAAUAUUAUAUUAUAUUAAUAUAAAUUAAUAUAAUAAUAUUUAUAAAUUUGAAAUAAUUAAUUAUUUUAAAUUAAUUAAGGCCUAAUCAAGAUUACACUAAUCUAAUCACCUAAUUAGCCUUAAUUAAUUAUCCACUACACUAAUCACAUCCCUUAAUCUAAUUAAGAAUUAAUUAAACUAAUCUGACCACCUAACCAUGCUUAGCCUAAUCUAAACAACCCUUAAGCAUAAUUAACCUCAUAAGCAAGGUUUAGUGAGUAAACUCAUCGGUUUAGCGUUCCGGUGAGUCCAUGGCGACGGCGACACCUAGGCGAGCGACAAUCCUCCUAGUGACGACACCAAGCGAGGUCAGAAAGGGCUUGAAAACGGGCCAGAAAGACCUCACGGUUUGCUAGUUUUCUGCUUCUGUUCUUAGCUGAACUGCAGAGAGAGAACCAGCGGCUAAACGGCAAGGAAGGGCUGAUCGGAGCUCCAGCGAGUGGGUGGCCGGCAAUCGGCGGCACCUGGGGUCAAGGGGGGACGUGCUGGUGGUUGGGACGGGCGGUGGAAGGGUUGAAAUGGGGAGAAAAUUGUGAAAACUGCAAAAUAGUGCAAGCGGGUAAGGGAUCGACGGACCGGUAAGCGGCGGCUUGUUUCUGGCGGACGGGAUGGCCAGCGGCUCCGUUCGGCGCGAGGCCGGGCUCUUCCAUACGGUUUGGAUGUGAUGAGCACGGUGGUGGGUGGCACGAAGGCUGAUUCGCACGAGAAGGCAACUUUUAACUCAGAUUUUUGGAGAAAUGUCAGCUAGAGCAGAAACUAGAAGGAAGGAAAAUAGGGGAGGAAAGAGGGUUUGGUGCCUUUAGUGGUGGUCGACGGUGAAGGGGGCUGGUCUACUCGGUUUUCUCUACUUCUCUUGAGCUUCCAAGGAACCUCAACAAUGGAGAAAGGUGGGUUUCAAGGAGGAAGAAUGCUGUUGAAAAGAGGGGGUCCCCAAAGGCUUCCUAGGCCUUCAACACUUGUCCAAUUCUCCCAUCUCUUGCCCCCACCAGCCUUGGCCCUCAUCAGCCAUUUUCCUCUCCUUGGCUUUCUCAAGAAGCUUGCCAAAUGAUCCAAAAAGUUGUGCACCAUGGCGGCUACGAAUUUGUAACAUUUCCCCUUCAAUUCCAAUCAAUUCUCACUCAAAUUAAUCCAAUUGAAGCCCAAACAAAUCAGCCAAGGUGUCCUCGUCCAUCUUAUGAUUUUUCCCCAUCAAUUGAUCCAACUUGACGGCCAAAGUUGCGAUAAAAAAAUGGGCCUACCAAUUUCCCGAUCCAAAAUAACCAUACUUUGAUUUUUCGUCGAAAAUCUCGGUUUGCAGGAAAAUCUUCUGAGGAUGAGUCGACGUUCCUAAAAUUAUUUGUGACAUGAAAGAACUUUAUCGGGUUCAAUUCACGGUUAAUUUCAAUUUGGCGUGGUUUUAGCGCGUCCUAAUUUACAGGGUAGCUUUUAGGAUUUUUUGGCGUAUUUGACCUGUGGUUGAUUAUUUUCAAGCCACAAUGUACAUCUUCGAUACAUUGGUGACUUUCGGUUGUCAUGGAAAUCUCGAGGUUUCAAAUACGGAUACAAAGUACAGAAACGGCAGAAAAAUUGAUCUAGUGCCGUUCGACGAGAAUUUUGUGAUUAGGUGGAAUCACCCACAUACUAAUCACAUACCUCUGUCGGAUCGACCUAUCUUCGAUCUUUGGUUGAUUUUGACAGUGCCGUAAUGACUUUUGCAAAUCAGUAUGGUCGAGCAAUCGGUUUCUGGUUGAAUUCUCAAGUCAAUUGCGUUUAUAUUCCUUAACGGCUUCACCUGAUAGACUAGUUAACUCGUAAGUGACCAAUUAAGAGAAAAAUGCUAUAGGCGCAUCGAUGAAAAGCCCAUUUCAUCUCAUCGAAGACAGACUUGAAAAUCAGGAUGUUACACUUGGGAUAGGAAGAAGCAAGAACCCAAAUCACCACCAAAACACUACUUUAUAAACACAUAGGGUUUAUAUACAAUAGCAAUCUACAAAAGACCGGCUCAACAAAAAGGGAACUGUCCUAUGACCAGCUAGUCAUGCACGUUCGCCGAUCCUUCGGUCUCCACAGGCUCUGUGGGCGUCAAGUCCUCCACCACACCAUCAUGAGGGUUUGUUGCACUCUUGCCUAGAACGACAUCUACUACCACAUCAAGAACUUCAAAACCCUGAAGGGGACCGACACGAAAUUCAUUGGGUCCAAAGCGAAACCACACCCUAAAUUGAUGAGGUACCUUAUGAGGUAAACCCUCUUCGACCCAGACGACGGUUACUACAAGUUCGUAGACCCAGUGACUUCCGGGAUCACGGUAGUUAGAAACUCGCUCGGUAACCCUCAUCGGCCAACCAAAACACUCAGGAGGAGCAGCCAUCUAUGGACCUAAAAAUGUUGAGCCCAUGACGGGGUGAGACAUUGUCUCAGCAAGUUCACCCCCGUAAACUCCGACUAGGAAGGAAAUAUGCCUAGAGGCCUAGUCACACAAAUCAGAGGACUUACCUCACCUUAGUUCCUUCCUGCACGUCAGUACAAAUUCAUAUUCAAUCAUUGCUCGCACAAGCAUGAACUACCAACACACAUCGAUCUAUCAAUUCAGUCAAUCACUACUCACAGAAGCAUGAACUACUGACAGACAUCGGUUUAUCAAUUCAAUAAAUCGCUACUCACACAAGCUGAGGUACACUAUUGCUCACCCAAGCUGACUUCUAUCAAUGCUCACACAAGAUGACUUUAAUUUAAAUAUAAAAUAAUAUAAUUAAAUAAUAUUCAUUUUCGACCAACAUCACUCAAUUUCACAAUACAACAUUCAAUUACAGAAAUUAAACAUACCACUGCGAUUAGCUCGAAAUUCUAUCGAGCAGCUCUCUCGGUAUAAUUCCCGAAAAAUAUUAAUUAAUUAAUAAUUAAAUAAAUUCCGAAAAUUAAUUUAAUUUAAAUAUAAAAUAAUAUAAUUAAAUAAUAUUUAAUUUAAACAAUUAAUUAAUUAGAAGUCUAAUCAUGCUUACAUUAAUCUAAUUGCAUAAUUAAACUAAUUAAUCUAUCCCUAAACUAAUCAUUCAUCUAAUUUAAUUAACAUUUAAAUAAGCUAAUCUAACCACCUAAACAUGCUUAGCCUAUUCUAAACACCCCUUAAAUAUAAUUAACUCCCUAAGCAGAGUUUAGUGAGUAAACUCACUGGAUUAACGUUCCGAUGAGUCCACGGCGACGGCAACGCCAAGGCGGGCGAUAAACCUCCUAGCGACGACACCAACCAAGGCUCGGAAGGGCUUGAAAAUAGGCCUUGAAGUCUUAAGACCCUUGCUGUCUUCGGCUUCUGUUUGCUGGAACGAAGGGCUGCUCGAGCGGCUUGAAGUGGCAAGGAGAGACGGUGGAGGUUGCAGCGGCUUAGGUAAGUGACUCUGGCGGCUGAACGGUGGUGGCGCGGCUUCGACAGUGGCCUGAGGAGCUCGGGGGACGUGGCUGGAUGUGAGAGAAGGCACGAAACAACGGCUAGGUGCGAGGACAGCAGAUGGUGCACGCGGGUGAGCAGGUGCGAGUAGCGUCGGUCCAGUGGCAUUAGCGGGUUGUUCCGAGGACUGCACGGUGGCAGCAAUUGCUCAGGCAACCUUGACAACAACUAGGGAGACUCGGAGGACGGCGAAGAGGCGUGGACCAGGCGGGAUGAUCGGGCACAGCUCGCUGGGCGCGACGGCGAGCGAAGGGCAAGCGAGCAGCGACAAGGGGCGUGACAGGCUCGAGCGACUACUUGGCUGAAGGGGGGAGUAAGGUUGGCCAGUUUCUCUGGUUUCUCAAGCUUUCCAAUGACGUUAGUAAUGGAGAAAGCCAAGCUUCAAGGAGGAAGAAGGCUCAGCUGAAGAGGGGGACCCCAAAGUGGCUUCCAAGGCCUCAACACUUGGCCAACACACUCAUCGCAUGCCCCCAGCAUGUCAGCCCACAUGCUCAACCAAUUCUCUCUCCCCAAGCUUCCUCAAGAAGCCUCCCAAGGUGUCCAAAAUGUUGUGUCCCCCAUGGCCUACGAAUUUGGACAUUUACACAUCAAUUCCAUUCAAUUCCCCUUCAAUUCUCAUCCAAUUGAGCUCAAUUUGUUGUCCAAAAAUCCAACCAAGGUGCCAUCAUCCUAAUCAACCUUUUUUCUCACCAAUUAGUCUAACUUGAAUCCCAAGAAUGCGACCAAAAACGGACCUAUGAAUUUCCCGAUCCAAAAUGCCUGUACUUUGGAUUUUUCGCCGAAAAUCUCAGUUUGUAAAAAAAUCUUCGAAGGGUGAAUUGAUGUUCCUAAAAUGACUUGUGACAUGAUAGAACUUUCAAUUUUUGAAAUCGGAUUCAAUUUCGCAGUUAAUUUUAAUCUAGCGCGAUUUUAGCGCGUCCUAACCUACCGGAUAGCUUUUAGGAACUUUUCGUGCAAUUGACCCGUGGUUGAUUAAUUUCAAGCCACAAAGUACAUCUUCGAAACAUUGGCAACUCUUGGUUGUUGUGAAAAUCUCGAGAUUUCAAAUAUGGACACGGGGUACCAAAAUGACAAAGGAAUCCAUCUAGUGUCGAUCGACAAGAAUUUUACACUUAAUCACAUACCUUUGUUAAGUCGACCUAUCUUCGGUCUCUAAUCGGUCUGUGUCGUAAUGACCCUUGCAGAUUAGCAUGGUCGAGCAGUCGAUUCCUGGUCGAAUUCUCAAGUCUAUUGCAUUUCGAUUCCUUAACGGCUUCACCCGAUAGGUUAGUUAUCUUGUGAGUGGCCAACUCAGAGAAAAGAGCUAUAGGCACGUCAAUGUAAAGCCCAACUCAUUCAAUUGAAAAUAGAAUUGGAAAAUCAGGAUGUUACAGAAGACGAUACCAAGAAUGCACUGCUCCCAGUUAGAAUUGAAGACACAACAUCGAAAUUUGAUCGAAAACAUUGGACGGUGGAAACAACACCUAGUAGACACUGCUCCUACAUAGAUAUGAGGACACAACAUCGAAAUCUAAUUGACAACGUUGAACGGUAGAAACAACACCUAAUAGAUACUACUCCUAAAUGGAUAUGAAGACAUAAUGUCGGAAUUUAAUCGUCGACGUUGGACGGUGGAAACAACACCUAAUAGGUACUGCUCCGAAAUGGAUAUAAGGACACAACGUCGGAAUUUAAUUGACAACAUUGGACGAUAGGAUAGCAUAGGAAUCUAAUCAACAGCUCUACCUAGGAUAUAGACAUUCAUCACAAUUGAAUUUACGACGGGAAUCUACAGUUACAGCUAAACUAAACUAGGCUAAGAUAAAAGGGUAAGAUAAAGGAAUUUUGUGUGUUGCUCGGGGGUGGCAGGGGAGGCUCUCUAUUGGAUUGGCUACGGUAUUUAUGGGCCAAUUUGGCAAGUGUUGGUGGCCAGUUGUUUCCUCCUUAAAAGUCACUCCAUGUUCUUUGCUUAACCGCUUUAUCCAUAUCUCGUUGCCUUAUUACCUGUUCAGUAAGUAUUACCACUCAUUUUAUUUUGGCGCCUUUUCAAGCAUCAACCGUUCCUGCCCAAAUUUUGCCAUCAAUUUUAUUUGAAUUCUAUGUCUUCAACAUCAUCUCUUCGCUUGGACACAUGGAAAUCAACUACUUUAUCAUUGAAUAAUAUAUCUAUGCUAGUAGGCCCAUCAAAAUCUAGCCCAAGGUCUCUUGAAAUCCUUGGCCAUCCUCCGUUUUCAUGAGAGACAUGGGUUGGCCUGAUGUAGAUCACAUGCCGCGUGGCAGUGAGGAUGAUUUCAAAUAUUUUCAUCCCUUGUAACCAGCACAUGGUAAUAAGGGUAAUUUGAGUGUCAAUAUCCCAUUUAUUUGAUGUUUUAUCUAAUGGAGCUUUCACGUCGUAUGAAAUUGCAACUACCGGCUCUAAGAAUGGGAUAUGACGAGGUCUUUUGACCAUAAUUAAUGUGGGGAUCGGGACUAGGCGCCCCUUUUUCCCUCCAUCCUAGGGCAAGGGGUGAGCUUGACUGGCAGGUAAUUGCAUUAAAGUUAAUUAAAAAGGAACGUUGCGAUGAUACAAUAGGAGAUAAUUUGAAUGGGAAAUAAAAGUGUGAGGAUCCAAAACAAGCUUGUAGGUUUCAUUCAAUCGACCAAUGGAAACUUCACAAAUCAUUUAAUAAAGAGGAUUUAAUGCAUUUUCCUAGUACAUUUAGCAUUUCUAUAACCUCUAUGAAGAAGGCACCAUUUAAUAUUUUCGGAAGUUCUCAUCAAAUUUCUAAUCAUAACCCAAAAUAAAUAUCUUACUCAUGCAUUUAAUAUUGAACUCACUUGCCCGCAAACAUAAGUUAAAAAAAUUGAGAUUGCAUCAAGCUUGACUACUCGAUUUGGACUUCAAACCAAUUUCGUUUGAAAGGCCAAAAGAAACAAUCAAAAGUAGGUGAGAAAACUUUAACCCAAGACACGGCAGAUGUAGAAGGAAUUUUGUGGAAAGAGAGAAAAGAGUUUCCACAUAACUUUUCCUUUCAAUGUGUUUCAUGUUCAUAUAAAUAAUCGAUGGAGCCACUAUUUGUCAAGAAUAUGAAGGCUUUAUUCUAUAUCUAAGAUUUAAAAAAAAAUAAUAAAAUAUAAGAAGAUGAGUGUUGAGAGCGCACAACAGUAGAUGACAAGAAUAUCACUGCUCGGUCCUCUCGUGAUUGAUGGCAAAUAUAAGGCACCAAUUUGUUCAGUCUCUAGUGUUCGGUCAUUGUUUCCAUGGAAUUCGUAGAAUAUGAGGCACCAAUAUUAAUAUUGCUUUCUAUUCCCUCAAUUUUUUAAAGGAGUGUCCUAUUGGACAGUGCUAUCUUAUAGAUUACUUUUAAUCUACCAAACCACAUGGCAGAUUAGAAGUGAAUAAUAAUCCAUAUUCGAUAAUUAAUGACAAUAAGCCACGCCACUUAUUACACAAAAUUUAUUAAAUAUUCUUAGUGUUUUUGACAUUUCUCUUUCUUGUUUUGGUUGUACAAGUGAAAACUAGCGAGACGUUGAUAAAUGAAUGACACCACUACAUGCACUAUGACUUUACUCAAAUUUGCUAAAUGAAAUGGUUUGCAGUGUGGUAUGCACCCAUUCAAGUUUGUUUGACAAUCAAUCCGAUGAUGCGUACCAAAUAGACAAUCCACUUGAUCUAGAGGUGGUCUUAUGGAUUCACGAGGUGAUUUUUGCCAUAGCACUUUGCUUUACAAGAUUCAAGAAAUAACUCCCAAGGGGUAGGACUUUGUCCCCCAUGACACUUAGUUACAGGGGUGGAAAAAAAAAAAAGAUCUAAAGAGCGAGUUGGCUCAGAUCAAAUGGCCUACAUUUUCAUGUCCGAAGAGGGCCGACAUGUGAUAUAGGACUCCCCCAUAUUCUUUUUCGGGCCGGUCCGCAUUUUCAGCCUGGCAUCCUCAGGAUCUCAGGCUUGAAAUGGCUCGGACCGGUCAAACUGUAUAUUAGAACUAGAAAAAAUUAUAAUAUAAAGAUUAAUAAUUAAUAAUAGAAAAUAUGUUGUUCAUAUUCCGAACACUUUAAUAAAGUCAUAAGUAAGUUAAAAUAUAAACAUAUAAUAUUUUUUUCCAGGCCCAAAGUAUAAUAACUAAUCUAUUUUUAAUUCAUAAAAAAUAAAAAAUCGAGUAAAAAAAACUAAGUUAUAAUUUUUUUCAACAAAAAGGCUUUCUAGUCUCUCUGUCCCCUCGUCUGUACUAUGAAUAGUUUAUUGUAUUAAACAAUGUCAAGAGGUCAAAAUACUUUUCACAACAUGAUCCAGAGCAUUAGUGAAUCGAUUAGUCUAUUCUAAUGCGAAAAUCACUCAUAAUUUUCUUGGAUCUGAGUGCACGGGGAAUGCAAUCUCUUUUCAUUUUGGAAGCAAAAAGCUUUCCGCGUGAUUCACGCACAUUUCUUUUGAGGGGCCAAAGGAAAUUCCCAAGUGCUUUUUUGAUGACUUGACCAAGAAAAGCAUCGGACUAAUUGCACAAUGUAUCGCCCUCAAGAAAAAUAAAAUUGACAUUCGCUUUAGAUAAAGAUCAUGAUCCACGUACAUCACAUCACGGAUUAAAGAAAUUAGAAGUAAAAUGCUUUUGCUUUGCUUUCACAUUUCUAGAUUGAAAAGAUGCCAAAACUUAUUUCAUUCGACUAAAAAAAAGAAGUUUGUUGGAUGACUUUUCCAUCCAAAAAGAGAUUUUGUGGAAAAUCUUUUCCUUUUGGAAAAGGAAAAGAAAUAUAUUAUACAAAAAAGUUAGUUGAUUUGUGAUAAUGAUUUGAUCUUUGUGUUUAUAUUGACAGAGUAAAUAUCAUUAAACUAUCAUUAAACGAGGGUUUUAUUCAUUUUUCUAGAGGUCAUCCGGAGGAGGGUCAUUGUUAAUAUAAGCCACCGACUUGUUCGUCAUGUGACCUCAGACAUUUCAAAAUAGUUUACUAUAAAUUGUAUAGUAUGAAGUUGACCCCUUGAAUCAUUUAUAAGUUGUAUGCAGAUCAUCUUCAAAACUAAAAUCUAUUUGAUCAUCCUUAUAAAGUUCAAAUAUGUUCAAUACCUUUAUGGCCUCAUUAUUUCUUGUGCUUGCAUUCAAAAGAUGUGAAGAGCUUCAAGGAUCGUCGACCAUACUUCAGUGGCAUCUUGAGAGGAUUUUUCAAAGGACAUCUGUUAGAACAAUAUAAUAAGUUAAAUUUUUCUUAUUUGAUCCAACCCCAUUUAUGUUUAUUUCCCCUUCUAAUAUAAUCUUUAGUUUGAUUGAUGGCUUCACACCUGUUAAUGAUAUGUCGCAAGCCACACAGCCGCCUUGUCAUUUAGUAAGAAAUUGCUAGUCAAGUACAUGUAACAGUACUCUUGAAAUAUUUGUCUCAUUAUGCCCACUAAAACAAUACAAGACACUUUAUAUGUUGGGGCAACAUUAAAUUGCUAGUCAAGUACAUGUAACAGUACUCUUGGAAUAAGCGUUAGUUUGUAAAAAGGGUAUAAGUGAUAAAUGGGGCAAGAUCAAUUUAAGGAAAUUUUGUCAGUCUUGUAUAAUUCCCUACAAUCUGUAAUAUGCUUUCUUGGCCAUACUUUUUGGUCAUACUGGUGAUGAAAAUGCCUGUAUAACCCUUAACCUCAGCUCUAUGAGGAGAGGUGAUGUUUGAGUAAGAGGCAAAGUCGGAAGAAGAGAAAUUUUCCCAAACCUCUACUAUGUUCUCCCCGAUGUUCCUAUAAAUCUUUCUUUUUCUAGGUCUAGUGAUAUUGGAAGGAUAAUAUUCCAAAUUUGAUUGGAUAAAACGAGUCGGUUCAACAAGUAUGCUCUUCAUUUGCUACUCAAAUCCUAUGAAUGAGAAAGCUUUUUCCAAAGGCCAUAAAGCCUUAAGAUGAGGGCUAAUGAUAUCUGAAGACCAUCAAGCAGUUUCAUUUAAGGACUAAAAGAGAGAACGGCGUGUGCAUUGGGAUGAUAUACAUGUCCAAUUUCAUUAGUCUUCCUCUUAUUUUAUCGUCGCAUGCGUUGUUAGCUUAUUCGAUUUCUCUUUUUUCAUUUUUCCUGUUGGGUAAUUGCUGUUAGUUAUAUGCCUUUCCUGUUGGGAUAACUCACGUGUCUUGAGUUCAAAAUCGGGUCUUGAGUUCUGUUGGGUAAUUUCUCUCAAUCAUUACGUAAUUGAUUGAUGGGAAACAUGAGACACCAGUUAUUAGAUUAUGUCUUGAGUUCGAGUCUCAUAUGAAAUCCAACUCAUCAAGAGGAUUUUGAUUUGUUCAAAAUCGGGUGUUCCCUUUUGAUCAGUAUCAAAUCUUGAUUUGUUGGGCGAUGGUACUUAACUAUUAUAUUUAUUGAAGGUUUGGUUCUGUUGAAGAUAAAUAUCCACGUCGGACUCCACCGAAGGCGUACGGUUUUGGGCCUUAUCUAUAUAUCCUGAGGAAGAUGGACCGAGAAAAUCUAUAUUUUAUAUUCCCCCACAAGAGGACUCUCUCUCUCUCUCUCUCUCUCUCUCUUUAACGAAGAAAGAAAGGGACGCACAGCGACGCUAUCUUUGAUCGCUUGGAUGAGUUCCAAAAACAUGGAUUUUGUGGCGAGAGUUCUACAUCCAAUUAAAAUAUUUUAUUUGUAAGCACUUUGGAUUUGAAUGUAAUUAAGGUGCGGGAAAUAUUCGAACCUGUGAGUGAUUGUAAGUAUGUGAUUCUUCGAUUAUCAAUGGAUUAUUUGCUAUUGACUCCUUCAGCAGAAUAGGUAUCGAGAGUUCUUUAUAGUUACUAGUUUAUUUUUCUGAUGAUUUCACGUUGAUUUAAUUAUAAGCUCCGGUUAGUUUCAGCGUUAUUUUAUAAUAAUUUGUUCAGUCUUCGGUGUUCGGUCUUCAGUCUUCGGGAGAGAGAAGGCAAUAUUUAAGGAAAGAAGCAAUAUCUUUAUUUGGUUCAGUCUUCAGUCUUCAGUCUUCGUCCGCAUGGACUACGUGGAAUAUCAGGCACCAAAUGUCUAUUCGGUAUUUUCUCCCUUUCUUCUUUCUUAUUACCUUAUUGCUUUCUCUCUCCCCAACUUUUUAAGGUGCUUCCCAUCGCACAAUGCUAUGUAAUAUAUUAAUAUUUACAUACUAAAUCAUAUGGCAGAAAAUAAGUGGGCGAUAAGCCAAAUGCAAAAUUAAUAGCAAUAUGCCAAAUCAUUUAUUAUACAAUAUUUUUAAAUUAGUCUUAGUGUAUUGAAAAUAUUAAUAACAGUAUUCAUUUAUGACGUGAACUAAAAUAAUGAUUCGUAAAGACAACUAACCCAUGUACCGGAUGAUCAGCAGCCACCUUGACAGUCAAGAUGCUACGCUUUACACCCUAUGAUUUCUAUUGUUUCUUGGAGUGCGUGGAGAGCACGCUGUUCGAAGCCUUAAGAGCAUGUCCAUAUAUCCUCGAGACAGAGGACAUAAAAUAGAGGACUAUAGAAAGUUCGGAUGAGCUUCCGGAACUCCCAUGGUGAGUUUUUGAAUAAUUGAGUUGCACAAGACAGAGGCGUUAAAUGCACCUAAAACUGAGAGGGGGUCACUGGAGGAGAUGGGCAAACAACUAUUUCUUGUGCUCAACUUUGCCUUCUUGUGGUGGUGGAGCUCAAUCCUUAGCUCCGGGGCUUGCUCGCAAAACCAAACGGAUCGGUUUGCAUUAGCGUCCUUCAAAAGCGCAAUACAUGAAGACCCAUUUGGAGUCUUGAGCUUUUGGAAUGAUUCUACCCCUCAUUGUGAGUGGCAAGGUGUUUUGUGUAGCAAAAGGCAUCUUGGGAGGGUCACAUCCUUGGUCCUGAGAUCACAAGGCUUGAGAGGCUUCCUAUCUCCUCACAUAGGUAACCUCUCUUUUCUAAGGGUCAUGGUUUUACAGAAUAACAGCUUCCACGGUGAAAUCCCACCACAGAUAGGCAACUUGCUUCGACUUCGUCUUCUUAUUCUUAGUAAUAACUCAUUUGGCGGGCCAAUAUCCUCCAACCUUUCCUGCUGCUUGAACCUCAAGAUCCUGGAUCUCAUAGAUAAUCAGCUUGUGGGGAGAAUUCAUUCCGAUCUUGGUUCUUUAACAAGGCUUAAAUUAUUGGGCUUGUCUGAGAACAGUCUCGUAGGUCCUAUUCAUCCUUCGAUCGGAAACCUCUCGUUACUACAACAAUUCUCCCUAGGAAAAAAUGCGUUGCAUGGAGAAAUACCUGAGGAAUUGUCCAGACUCAAAAGGUUGGUAUUUUUACAACUCUCAUUUAACAAACUAAUUGGCGAGAUCCCACGAGGAAUUUUUAACCUCUCCGACAUUUGUUACUUCUCUGUCGGUUAUCAGUUAUUGACCGGGACGAUUCCGUCUGCUAUUGGCACCACUCUUCCUUCUCUCCGUUACCUUGGAGCCCCUGACAACCUGUUAAUUGGGACAAUUCCAUCAUCAUUAACAAAUGCGACCAGCCUUCAAUAUCUUGCGCUUCACGACAAUAGUUUCCAUGGGCCAAUACCGAAAGAUCUGGGAAGGUUAAAGGGCCUUCGCUUGAUUGGUUUGGUACAUAACCAGUUACGGGAUGACUUAAGUUUUAUUUCUUCUUUAGCUAAUUGUUCCCGCUUAGAAUAUCUCUCACUGAACUCGAACUUGUUUCACGGAUCAUUGCCGAGAUCCAUCUCCAAUCUCUCCAGCAUUAAGGGAAUUUAUAUGUCAAACAAUCUGAUCCAAGGAACUAUUCCUUCAGCCCUAGGAAAUCUCUUCAACUUGUCUACGUUGAGUUUAGACUAUAAUUUUCUGACCGGUCGCAUUCCUGAUUCCAUCGGAGCACUUUACAAUAUGCAGCGUCUUUGUUUUCCCGGAAACAUGUUUACUGGAGUGAUACCGUCUUCAAUUGGUAACAUGACGUUGUUAAAUAUCCUUGACCUCGAGUCCAACAAUUUCCAAGGCUACAUACCGCAGAGUCUUGGCAACUGUAUGCAAUUGAAUGCGCUCGAUCUUUCAAACAACAACCUAAUUGGCUCGAUUCCAAUUGAAAUCAUGGGUCUUUCUUCCUUGUCAAUCAUCUUCAGUUUAGCGCAUAAUAAUUUAAGUGGAUCUCUUCCACUGCAAGUUGGAUCUUUGAAGAAUCUCGCCGAAUUAGAUCUAUCUUACAACAGAUUGACAGGCUUGAUCCCAGAGUCCAUCAGCGAGUGCUUGAUAUUGGAAUGGCUUCACUUAGAGGCUAAUUCUUUUCAUGGUCAAAUCCCCAAAACUUUACGUCCGUUACGGGGUCUACGAGAGCUGGAUCUUUCCAAUAAUAAUUUUUCAGGUCCAAUCCCAAGCUUUCUUGCAGAGCUCUCACUGCUUGAGUACUUGAAUAUGUCCUUCAAUGAACUAGAAGGACGGGUUCCGGAGGGUGGAAUUUUUCUUAAUGCAAGUGCUGUAUCAGUUUCCGGAAAUGAACGACUCUGUGGGGGUGUUCCGCGUCUAAAGCUUCCUCUUUGCAAAUCACCAAGCUCUAAGAAGUCUUCCACAACCAAGACCAUGGUGAUAUCGAUUGUAGCCGUCAGUUUAUGUUUAGCUUUGUUGUUCCUAUCUAUCUUUUGUUACUGCAAAAAGAAGCAUAAGAGAAUUGAUGCCUCGACAUCAUCAUCCUUCGAGCACCAAUUCUUGAGGAUUUCUUAUGAAGAACUCUUGAGAGCUACUGACAGAUUCUCCGAGACCAAUUUAAUUGGUAAAGGGAGAUACGGCAUAGUUUAUAAGGGGAUUCUUGACGGUGGUGUCACGAUAGCAGUGAAAGUGCUUAGUUUAAUGCAAAGAGGUGCUUUGAGGAGUUUUGUCUCCGAAUGUCAAACUCUAGGAACCAUUAGACACCGUAACCUCAUAAAGAUACUAAGUGUUUGUUCCAGCGUGGACUUUCGUGGCAAUGACUUCAAAGCUCUAAUAUACGAGUUCAUGGCUAGUGGAAGCUUGGAGGAGUGGUUGCACCCUAGGAGUAUCGAACGAGAUGAUGAGCAUGGCGAAUUGAGAAAUCUAAAACUAAUGCAGAGGUUAAACGUCGCCAUCGACAUAGCCAAUUCGAUCGAAUACCUCCAUAAGGGCUGUUCUCUAGCAAUCGUCCAUGGAGAUCUGAAACCGAGUAAUGUGCUUCUAGACAAUGACAUGGUGGCUCGAGUUGGAGAUUUCGGGCUUGCAAAGGUCAUUUCAACAGUGUCUGUCGAAGCCACAGGAGUUCAAGAUCUAGGCAGUUCAACUUCAAUAGCAGUAAGAGGAUCCAUUGGUUACGUGCCUCCUGGUAUGUAUUUAUCAUAUUUUCUCGAUUAGUUUUUGGUUGAUUGCGAUAGUAAUAUGAGAGAAAGUCAAAAGUUUGAAUAAACAAUGAUUUGAUGUUAUGUUAUGCUUUGUAUGCUCUGACACCUAUUUUUCCUAACACAAUUUCCUCUUUCUCCUAUUAAUAACUUCAGCCGAAAAAGAAAUUACUUAUCUUUCUCUCGUUCGUUUUUUAUCCAGUAUCAUGUUCAUGAUGUGAAAAUGGGUUGUGUCUAAUAUUGUCGUAUAGUCAAUUACAGUACAAGAAAUUGACGAGAAUUCACGAUUCUCUUAUGCCAUGACUUAAGAUCUUGACAAUAAGUAAUUGACCGCUUACCGUGGACCUUUUCCUAUAUAGUAUGAUAUAUGAAUUAAACUAAAUCCAGAUCAUGAAAAUGAGGAGCUUCAUGUGGAUCUUAUGUGCGUUCAGUCACAACCAAUGGUUUAAAUUUAGUUGACACAUGUAGCAAGUUCACUAAAAAAUUUCUCCCAAGGCCUUCAUUUCAUGUAUUUUCUUCCUUUUCUGUUUUCGCCUGUACCCUGCUAGAGCACAAAGUCAUUAUAGAUGUUUAGGCAAUUUGUUUAGCAAACAGGUGACAACUUUGGGUGCACUAAGUAGUUUUGGAGAAAGAAAAUUUCAUAUCUUGUUAACUGAUCUUUUGUGCACUUUAUAAAUCCUAAAAUCUCAUUUCAUUACAGUUGAUACAUUCUGACUUUUGUGACAUUUUUUACCACUAAGCAUGCGAUAGGCGCUAAAAAUUAUCUAUAGCUAAUAAACCUAGUGAAAGUCAAACAAAGAGUACGAAAUUAAAAAAACCAGCAAGGGGUCUGUAACUCUCUACCUUGCUUCGACAAAGGAUUCCCUGGCCUCUACCGUGCACGGAGAGCCCGACCGUGGGGUGAGUGAGGGCUUGCAAGCCAUCGCUCUAUGUUGGGCGCGCGACUGGCAGGAGUCCUCACAAUUGUCUUGGCAAGCUCUUGCAAGUAGACACCAAGCAAAAUCCCACGUGAUCCAGGAACUUCUUCUAUAAAUUAAAUUCGAAAGAAAGUUUUUGUUCAUUCUUAUUUAAUGUAUUGAUGAAAUUCUCAGAGUACGGCAUGGGACAAAAGGUUUCCACACUUGGGGAUACAUACAGUUACGGCAUUCUAUUAUUGGAGAUGUUCACUGGGAAGAGACCCACCGAAGAGGCUUUUGAGCAUAGUCUUAACCUUCAUAGCUUUGUCCGAAUGGCUCUUCCAGAUCGAGUGAUGGACAUCGUAGACUUAAGACUUUGGAGUGAAGCUGGUGAUCAACAACAGGAGAUUAGGAUCAGAGACUGCAUUAUCUCUGUAUUUGAAGUCGGAGUUGCAUGUUCGAUGGAAUCACCACCGAAUCGGAUGAACAUGACUGAGGCGAUCAGGAAAUUACUUUUGAUCAAGGCAAGUUUUGAAACCAAGAGAUGAGGACAGGUCUGUAGCUAAAGUCAGUUUUCUUGUUUCAUCUUGAAACUCUUUCACUAGUAGAGAAAAUCAUCGUGCAAAGGUAGUGUUAGGAAAUUGACAUGAAUGUCUCCUUAACUAGUCUAUCUACCCAUACCUAUUAUGCAUAAAUUACAUCAAUAUCUUUCGUAGAAAGUGGAUGUAUGGGGUUAUAGUCUUCCUACUUCUACCAAGUGACCAUGUAAAAUGUGAUAAUUUGCUUAUCUGCAUGGUUCUCUUCAUUUCUGAUGCCAUUGUGGAUCGAUGCAUUGCUUAAUUACCAUGGAUGGGCCAUUGCCCUCGCAUCUCUCUCUCCACACGCGCUUGUGUACGAGAAUGGGACCUCACGGUGAGGUCACAAAAUCAAGGCCAAUUCUUAAUGUCGCGAUUAACCAAGAGUCUACCGUCAAUUGGAGACCAAGCUUGAUCAUCCAAUAAAGAUAUAGAGUUAACAAACACGUAAAUGGGACAAGAUCAAAAAGGAAACAUGGACGCAUAUUUAUUGCACUCCUCGUUGUGCUUAUCACACUGUCUAACGAUCCAUGUCAAGUCUUCCCACUCAACCAACCCUCCCUCUUUUCUUCACCAUUAGCCACCGUCUCCAGCCGUUUGUGGUCACCUAUCAUUAUCGUCGUCUCCUCCUUGUCUCAUCAGUAUCUCCGUCAUAUCAUCCACGACCAUCUUUACUUUCUUUGAUUGCUGACCCAAAACACUCUUCCCUCACUCUGCCUUUUCUCCCACUGCCAAAUCUCUGAGGUCUCAGAACCACCAUUGAUGAUUUGUUUUGGCCAUCCUGGCCCCUGAGAUCUCACCGAAAUCUCAAUGGACAGGCCAGAUAUGGUGGAGGCAUCCCCUGAUCUGGAGACGUCCUCUAAUCUCAUCAUCGACAACUUAAUUGUAGAUGACUAGAGGAGCUUGAAGCGAGUUCUUGAGACCCGCUGAAGGCAUAAACUUUCUCGACCACCCUUUAACGAGAGAGGGAGAGAGGUUGUCACGCCCCGGACCUUCCCUCAUCAUGGAAACGCAACAUCCACCACAAGAUUAAUUUGUGACGUCCCAAGAGGCGUCACCGGUCCAUUAAUUUUUAUCUUUCAAUUAAGCACAUGUGGAAGCGUACGACUCAAUCACUUGAUCAAUAACAACAAAUGGAUAGUAAGGAAAACACAUAUAUACUACACAACUUAUAUAUGCUUCAUUAAUAUAUUGGAACUUUAUAAUUACAAACCCACUUCUUUAGGGCCAUUGCGAUUUUCGCCCCAUGCAAAAAGAUACAGGGGACGGUUAAAGGGGUUCACAAGCUUCAGGGUGAGCUAAUCUCCACUAGCGAGAUACUAACCAAAAGUGGCUCCCCUAUGAGGACCAACUACUUAAGCAUCACCUACUAGAUUGUCUGGUGAGCCAUCGUCCUCGUUUAGUCUGAGCGAACUACAGAACUCAUGGAGGGGUCCGAAGAGAUCCCCUUCGAACCAUGCGUCCUAGGCCUAGUAACUGUGAGGGACGAGAUCAUUAUAGCCCCCUCUACCCAGACAAUUAUAGUGAUCCUUCAAAAUACGGUAUCCUCCCUAAACACGUUCAUCAUCGUGACCUCCAUACUCAUGGGUACCCAAAAUCGCAUGAAGCGAGUAGGUGGUGGAUUCAUACCGAUUGGCCUGAAAAAGGUUAAGCAACAAUAAAUGAGUUGAAAGGAGGACUCGGCGGAGGAAGAACAAGCAGAGAGAGAGAGAGAGAGAGGGUAACGGAGCCGUCAAAGAAACGAGAAGGUAGGAAGCCGGGGUGGGGCCCAGCGUGUACACGUGUCGAUUCCCGCGUCGCUCGUUUCCGUACUCCCCCUCCACCAGUGACGUGCCGAGAAGAACAGCCAAAACCAUCUCCUCCUUCUUCUUCUUCUUUUGUAAGGUGUCAGGGGACGCCGCCGUCUAUGGCUUCUUGUAGUGGUCAUCGCCGUCGCCGGAGAGAAGGUGGAGCAGUCGAGCGGGAGGCCGUGACCGGUCCUCCUCGUCGUGGGAGCCGUUGCUUCUUCAAGUUCAUACUCUCCGGCGCGCUUGACUCUGGAAGCUCGUGAGUCGGUCAAGUCUUCGCACUCUGUUUUAAGAGUUUCUCGCGCUCUGUGCUGUGUACCCAUCAACCUGGAAAACGGGCCCGCGCGUUUGGUUUGGAAUGAACGAUGAACUUUUCACUUCCAACUUAAGAAAGAACAACUGGGAAUUCUCUAACACGGCUGUCGAUCGAGCAAAAUUUCUCCUUUUUCGUACUUCGAUGAUAUGAAAGUCUUCAUCGGACGUGCGACCAGUUGUCCUAAACCAUGGUGAUGGCGGGCCUCAUGGCUGCUGCCAUGUCUUCUGCUAAAGUUUACUUUUUUGUAUAUAUAUUUCACGAUUUGGGUCGAUAUGGGUUUUCGGACUAUAGUGUUAUGUGCAUGGUUCAGGUUUCCACAACAUCCUUUGAACGUUGCUAUUCGGAAAAGAAGAGUAAUUUCAUGGAUACACAGAGUUAACUUACAGAUGUUGAUAUGACAAAAGUAAUGGGCUUUUCCUACGGUGCCUGGCUUGUCCAAUGAAGCAUCCAUCUCUACAAAUCGAUCCACAACUAUUUCGGAGUACACUUGUGGAAACUGAUCUUUCAUUCAUGUUGCAGAAUUUAAAAUUCCUUAGAUCUUUUUUUUUCCCCUGUUCUCUGCACUUUGGUUUGACUAUGAUGAGUUAUUAUGAUGGACCCGUAAACCUUUUCAUAAUAGGGAAUUCCAAAGAAUUUCUUGAGAAGAUGUGGGAAGGAUCUCUCAAACUCGGUGCUUCUUAAGGUCCCUGACGGUUCAACCUGGACUAUAGAACUAGAAAAGCGUAACCAUGACAUGGUUUUGUUGGGGAAAGGGUGGCGGGAAUUCAUGGAGCAUUACUCCAUUGGUCAUGGUCACUUCAUAGUUUUCAAAUAUAAAGAGAACUCCACUUUUCGCGUAAUAAUAUUCGAUAAGAGUGCUUCAGAGAUGGAUUAUUCCUCGAGCAGGGGUGAAACAUCAUACCUUGGGAGCGAACUUCCCUCGCCAGAAGCAGAAGAUGUUGUAGAAACAGAUCGUCUGGAGGAUGUCAAACCCCGUCAAAGAAUGAGGAUGGAGCCACAUUUACCUUGUUCUCAGCUAAGUCCGAGUUUCUCACCGCGAGGGUCUGAAGGUGUGACUCUUCAUUUUAGAAGUCACGUAUAUUCUUGCAUCACUCUCUUUUGUUAGUUCUUUUCCAAAAAUACUUGUGAACUUUUUACAAUCUAAAGCCGCUAAACUGAUAUGGUAUCAUUAGAUGAAAAAAAAGGCCUCUGCUAUGGAACAGAGUAGCUUUGCUAUUUCUAUUUGUAGCCAUGGGAAGUAGGUGGAUUGAUUUUAUCCCUAUCCCUUGUUUUGGAGCUAAGUGGAAGCUGGUCUCCUCCGUAUGUAGUUUCCAUGGAUACUGACCCUGAAGAACCACAUCUAGCUCAAGCUCAAGCUGGCCUGACAGAGAGGAGUAAACAGCCAACAUGCGGAGCGAGUCAUUCUGAGCUGGAUUUUCAUGGUCCUAUGCUUCCAAGGCCUCUCACUACUCCUGAAUUAACCCGCAAAAUUAAUUCCAAAUAUCCCUUUUUCAUAAAGGUGAUUAGGCGAUCUUAUAUGAGUAAACUGGUAAGUCUUGAGCUCAUCACGAGUAUAGUUCAAUUAUGACUGCUGGUACCUACAAUGCCAUGAUCACAUUAAUUGUGAUGUCCACCUAUUUGAGAUUUUUUUCUCCCAUCCAUAUAGUGUUUAUGAUAUAAUACAGUGGAUUACUACAACAAUACUCAUUCCAGGGAUUUCUCAUUCCACUUAAAUAAUUUCAUGUCUUGGUUGUUCAAACAUGUGCAUGUGCAGAGUAUUCCAGGUGGAUUCAUCAAGCAGCAUAAGCUGGAAAAGCAAAGAGCAACUCUAAGGCAUGCCAACAGAUCAUGGUCAGUGAGGCUUGGCGGGAGCAACAGACAUGUCAGAGGGGCUUUGUGUCUGUUCUUUUCUGCUGGUCGGGAUGCAUUUGCAAGAGAGACUCAUCUGCACGUAGGACAUGUCUGCAUGUUCAAGCUAAUUGAUAGGGAUGAUAUUGUUUUCGAAGUCUCCAUUUUGAGUGGUGAGGACUUGAUUUACAUUUUUAAAAAUGAGUACUUGAGGUGUAACUUUAGGCUGUUUAUCGCAUGACUUGCAUUCUGGGUUUAUAAUUAUGCCUCCCUUAUUUGGUUGUUGUGCCUCUAUGCCAUUUUAAAAUAUACUCGUACGUUUUUAUAAGAACUUUGUGUGUCGAUUAGUAUUGUAAUAAUUGAGGCGGCAUUCUAGUUGAUUUGUCACUUCCGAUGUGAAGAGCACUCAUGUCAAAUUUUCUGAAUUUUUCAUUUCAUGGUAAUCAUAAUUUACAAUCUAGGUCAAUUGAAGAAACGCUCACAUUAAAGUCCUUUUAUUCUCAGUUCUUCGCGGGAACAAACUGUCCAAACGCAGAGUGAAUCAUCAUGAGCUGGGUAUUCGUGGUCCUACACCUCCAAAGCCCCCCACUACACCUGAAGUAGCCAGUGAAUUUGAGUCGGAGCAUCCCUUCUUCAAAGUGGUGAUACAGCAAUAUCAUAUGAAACAAAUGGUAAGAUCUGAAGCCUAGUCCACAACUGGCAUAUCUCGAGUUCAAUUUCAAUUGCUAUAAAUCAUGCCUCGAUAUUGUGUUUUCCCAAGUUGAUUUUGUUUGUAUUGGAAACUUAGAUGACAUAAUAUAUUUCUUAAAGUGUCCAUGGAGAAACCUAAUGAUGGAGUAACGCGGAACCAUAAAAAGAUGAAUUAAGUAAAGACUGUAACUGGGUCGGGACUGUCCUUUACUGGGAUGCCCCACAAGCUGCUCUAUUCACUAUCCAAGUGAAAGGAUGGACCGUCACUUUAAUGGUAAACUAACUGAAAAUAGCUAUUAAUGGAGUCACUUCUUUAAUAAUGCUUUUGAUUGCAGGUUAAGAUUGAUAACUUUCAUAAGCCCCUUAAUGCUUGUUGAUUAAAACUCUUGAACUAGCAAUUAUCGGCAAGAAUAUGCCUCAUGUGCUUCUUCUUUUUCACGUGAGUGUAUUCUUAUGAGAUGUCCUUUUAACAUAUGGUGGUUUGUUCAUGCAUGUAUGAAUGUGCAGUAUGUUCCAAAUCAAUUUUCCCAGCAACAUAUUCAAGAAAACAAGGAAAUGGCGACUCUCAGGUUUUCAGAUAGAUCGUGGCUGGUGAAGCUCUUAAGCUAUACGCAUAAUAAAUACCAGGGGGUGUAUUUCUCUGUUGGUUGGAAAGAAUUUGCAAGAGAAACUCAUCUGUGCGUGGGAAAUAUCUGUAUGUUUGAACUCAUUGAUAGUGAUGAUGUUGUCUUUCAAGUCUCCGUUUUUAGUAGUGCUGGUAAGGAUCUGAUUCACAUUGAUUGAGAUGAACAUUUUCUAUUUUAUUCGGUAGUUGUGAAUCAUGAAAAGUAUACCUUUUAUGUUUCUGUUUUCUUCUUCUUUGCACUAGUCUCAAUUCGAUUUUCACGAUGACAGUAAUUUUCACACCAAAUGACUAUCAAUUUCUCAUUGUUUUACUACAGGUGGGACAGAGAAAUCUACAUGCAGAGCGAGCC